rnacentral:lncRNA from 1 species
CAGCAACCCAAAGUUGACUGGGAGACGACGACCUAGACCACUCACGAACAUCAUCCUCCAUGCGCCUCAUCCUGCGGUACCUGUUCUUGACCUGUGGGGGGGUGUGAGACAGCAAGAGUGAGCUCACAUACGUUCAUCGCUCAACAAGUUGUGGGGAAUAAUGUGCAUGAACUCGCCAAAGGUGGGAGCUCACGUGAAGUGUAAGGCUUACCAAAGAGGAUGGUUAGAGUUGAGCAUUGCUUUUAAAGUUGGUCAAAAUUUUAUUAGCAAUUACUAAGUAUAAGUAAAUACCAACCCAAUUAAAUAGUAGAACAAAAGUAACACCAUCACCUGCGAUGCAGUGCAUAUGACAAAUUGAAUUUAGUUCCAUAAAUUAAUCAUGUGAGGGUCCGAGCUGCUCAUGACCGUGAGCACGGCUGAUAUACCAGUUUUACACUCUGCAGAGGUGGCGCAUCUUUACCCACAAGUCAUGUUACCCAUCUGCCAAGGGAUCGCGACUUCCCGUACACCUCUACCGAGGAGGCGAGGCAGGGUAACACUACGAGGCCUUUACAAAGUUCCACUAGCUUCAGAAAACCCGCUACAGUUUAUAGGAAGCUCCAAUGCAGGAAUUCCCUUGCAGGACCGCCAUCGCAGCAAAAUCCUCCCGAGGGUCUCCCUACACUGACCACUCCCCUACUGCCCUUGCCCCUUUCGGGUAAGGUAGUCCUCCACUAGCUUUCCUAAUUAAUCAGCCAAGGGCGUCCCAUUAUACCCUUGUGGUAGCACUGUUUUCCCGGGUGGUCGCUCCAUGUUCCAAUUAACAUAAUGAUCUUAUCAUGAACGAUAAAUAACAACGGAUAACAAAAGUAUAACCAUGAGUAAUGUAUCUUCAUACCCAAAACCACAUAAAGCACUAGCAAGUACUACCCAAAAAGUUCAGUGGUAAACAAGGUAUAAAGAUAAUCAAACUAGGGUAACCUAUUGGGUCCCAUCAAAAUUAACCUAUGCAGAUCAUUAUGAUUAAUCAGAACAUGGCUGGGUAAAAAGAAGUGAUCAAGGGCACAACUUGCCUGAGACUUGAGAUUCCAGGUACCAGGAUGAUCUUCAGGUGACUCGUGACCUCACGCUAGUCGUAGCAAUACAAACAAACAUGGUAUAGGCAAAAUUAACAUCACACAAAACAUAAGAAUAAACUGAGUAAUAAUAAUCUACGCGUUGCUACGAGAUCGCGGGAACGAGAACCACUAAAAUCGGAGUUACGGUUAAGGAGUUAUGAUUUCAUGGAGAAUUUAUGUGAUUAAAAUGUUAAACUAUAUUAUAAAUUGGUUAAUACAAAUCAUAUAAGAAGUUAUUUUAUAAAUACUCAUCUCAACUUUAAUCUAAGUUAUAAAUUAACCAUAGAUUAUAUUUUGGUAGAUAAUGAUGAGCACAUUAUCAAGACUAACCAACAUAAGUUAAAUAAUUAUCUAAUCAUAAAAUAAUAAGACAUGGUAUAAUAAAUGUUGUUAUGGCAUAGUAAAUAUUUAUACGAGACUAACACAACUUGAACGAAUCAAAUCGGAGUUACAGAUUGUGAGUUGUGAGUUUCCAAAGGUUCCAUGUAUUUGAUACAAGAUUACUUAGGGUAUAAAUUUUAAUGUGACAUUCAUGUCAAAACAGUGGCACUAACUGAUAAACAAUAAUAUUAUAAAAUUAUAGAAAUUGAAAUGGAUUGAUUUGGACUUCAUAUGAAUUUUAUAUGAAUUAAACAAGUUCUAGGCAUUUGUUUUUUUUAUAUAAAAAAAUCAAUUUCUCAAUUAGUUUCCCUGUUAUAACCAAUAUUUGGACUGAGCGCAUGAUUAAACAGAAACCCAGGGGCCUCGGUGUAAUAAAUCCUAGACUCAGAACACUAUUCACUAGACUGCGGGUUAGUUCCUCAAUUCCAGGAGGGCUCUUUUACAAAAUCGACUUGGCGAAGGGGUAUCUGUUGAUAGGGGCCGUCAGAUCGACUACGGAGCGCCCUGAUUAGAUCGGCCUAUCCGCCAACCGGUACCCAGCCGCAGCCACAGGAUGGGAAAUCAACGGUCCAGGUUUUAAGUAGCUGAGAUCGAUCCACAUACGCCGGAUCAAGAUCGCACGGACCAGAUCCGAUCCCCAUCUCCCGCAAACCGGUACGUCACGAGAUUCAUUGGAUUCUAAUCCAACGGUGCUUAAGACAUUACGCGGAGAGCUAAUCUUGCCCCUACAUCUAGAUCCAACGGCGCGCGUACGCUCUUCCUCCGACGACGACCAGCGAAGGUGGAGCAGAGGCCCGCGGCUGCCCUCCACCAGCGCGCCGCGAUUCCGGCCAACCUGACCUCCAUCUCCAAAUUCCUUCGCUCCUCGCCCAAUUGAUGAUGUUAUGAACUCAUCCCCUCUACCAAUUUCUACCGUCGACGAGCACAGUGCUCAGUCCACGGCGCGCUACACUUUUACGGUGGCGCCACCGCAACGCGCAGGUGACCGGUCCGAGGGAGACUAUCCACGGCGAGAGGCGGAUUUACGGCGGAGCUCUCACCACGGCGAGCAAUUGCCCGCACCCGGCUUCAACAGUGGUAUGCUACGCUAAUGAUGAUACGCCGAGCAGGUGCGAGCGAGGGGAAACGCUUACCGAUGACCACUCGAACAACGCCUUCGCGAUUUCACCCACCGCCGAGCGCAGUCGCAGAAGAAUCCCGACGGCAGCGGUGACCGUUCCGAGCUCCACUCUGGGCACCCGGCUCCUGCGGCGACUACCCGACCGCCCAGAGCAACGAACGGAGGUGAGGCGACGGCGGCGACCCCAACUCCCACGGCGAAUCCCGAGCUCCCCUCCCAGCAGUCGGGUUCCCAGAUAAUCCAGUUGAGCGGAACAGGCACAAAUCGGCAAGUUUAUAGGGGGAGGGAGUCCGCGGUGAGGCGAAUUACCGACCCCACCCAGGCAGCGCGGUGGUUGAGCCGAAUCCCAGGGAUCACGGAUGGUUGUUGCAGAAGCUCCCGAUGAGUUCGGUGAGGAAGGAAAGGCUGACCCAGGUGGCCCACGUGUAAGUGAAUGGAGUGGAUGCGCGUGAGAGGGGAGAAGUGGGCCGCGCAAUUGGAGCCACUGGGCUGCACGGUAGGGAUUCGGCCCAGCCGAGCAGGUAUGCUUAUUUCUUCUUUUUCUUUUCUCUUUUCUUUUUCAAAUUUAGAUUUUCAUUCCUCCUUUUACAUUUCAAAUUCAAAUUAUAUCAGAUGUACCAAUUUACAUUUGGAGAUAAAGAGAAUAUAUUUAUGUAUAUAUUUAUUUAGGGAUCAAUUCAACCUUUAGAAUUAUUAUUUUAUUUAAUGCACAAACAAUAAAACUCCAACGAGAUGCACUUUCUUUUAUUUUAGUGUCUUUGGUUUGAUUUAAUCACUCUUCAUUUUAUAUAUGCUCUUUUCAUGAUGCAAAUAAGGCACAUAAAAUAAGGAAAACACCAUGUAUUUCUUGUACACAAUUUUGAGUAUUACAGUGUACUCCUUCAUGCGCCUAGGGGUCCCUUUUAUAGCCCCAAGGCAGCAAGGAGCCGUUGAGAGCAAUCCAGGAAGGCAAUUCUUGCCUUCUGUCGACUAGUGCACCGGACAGUCCGGUGCAGAUUUCUUUCAUGUUCUGGUGCGGCCGACCGUUGACGAUUUGGAGCCGUUGGCGCACCGGACACUGUCCGGUGCCCCCAUUAGACCGUUGGCCCGGCCACGCGUCACGCGCAGAUUGUGCGGCCGACUGUUGGCUCGGCCGACCGUUGGCUCACCGGACAGUCCGGUGCACUACCGGAUAGUCCGGUGAAUUAUAGUCGUACGCCGCCGUUGAGUUCCCGAGAGCGGCCAGUUGACCAGCGCCAGCCAGGCGCACCGGACACUGUCCGGUGCACCCAGACUGAGCAGAGUCUUGGCUGCUCGAGCCAAGUCUUUUCCAUUUGUCUUUUCUUUGAUUCUAGCACUUAGACAAAUAUGUUAGUACACAAAAACCAAUGUACUAAGUCUAGAAUCAUACCUUUGUAUUGAUUUUCACUUUGUCCACCAUUUGGCAUAGUUUAACACAUAACCACUUGUGUUGGUCACUUAAUCACCAAAAUACUUAGAAAUGGCCCAAGGGCACAUUUCCCUUUCAGUUUGUAUAACUCCCCUUCUAUAAUUACAUAGGGUCGUGCUCUUGCUUCCAUUCUUUUAUUGUAAACGUCUUCAUCUGAAAGACAAUUGCCCUGAAGAAAGAUGUGAUCUCAGUCCUCCAAUAUUCACUGUGCACUCGUGAGAUUGUGACCACUGCUCUUUCCAUAAGCUUGACCGAAGGUGCUUUUAUUGUUUCAAAGAACACCUCCGAAGGUAACGGAAGCCCAUGUGCCACUGAUUUAGCUAACAAAUCUGUGUGCUCGUUUUCUCCUCUCGGGAUGUUUUUUUACAGAGAAGCCAUCGAAAGAGGCUUCCAUCCUUCGGACUGCAUCCAGAUAUUUUUGUAGCCCUGGGUCCCUUGCUUCGCUACUUUUGUCAAUGUGACCUAAAAGGACUUGUUAGUCGGAUUUGAAUAUUGCCCUUCUUAUUCCCAUUGUCUUAAGCUUUCGAAGCCCCAAGAGAAGGGCUUCAUACUCUGCAAUGUUAUUUGUGAAGUUGAAGUCCAAUCUUGCUGCAUAGCAGGUUUUGAUUUUUUAUGGUGAGAUUAAAACAACAACUACUCCUGCGUCGAAGGUUCCCCAGGACCCAUCACAAAAUAUUGUCUACGCUUCGGCAUCAUUUGUUUUCUCUUCGUCCUGAGCCCCUAGCGUCCAAUCAGCAAUAAAGUCUUCUAACGCUUGGGAUUGGAUCGAAGAUCUAUGAAUGAAAUCGAUAGUGAAUUCAUUCAAUUAUGCAGCCCAUUUCCAACUCGUCCUGUGGCUUCUCUGUUUCUCAUUAUAUCCUUUAGGGGUUGUGAAGAAGGUACUAUGAUAUGGUAUGCUUGGAAGUAAUAUUGAAGGUUCCUGGAAGCCAUUAAUACAGCAUAUAAUAUCUUCUCUAACUCUGUAUAAUUUUUCUUUGAUGCACUAAGUACUUCGGAGACGAAGUACACUGGCACUUGUUUUCUUGCCUAGCCAUCCUGGUUCUCUUGCACCAGCGCUGCACUAACCGCAGCGUGGGAAGCAGCUACAUACAACAGCAAUGGAGUUCCUAACGAAGGUGGGGUUAAGGUUGUCAGUUCUAUCAAUUACUGCUUCAGUUCUUCGAAGGCUUUUUAUUGAGUUGGUCCCCAUUGAAAGACUUCGGCUGACUUCAUCACUUCGAAGAAUGGCAAGUUCCUCUGUGUUGAUCUUGAAAUAAAUCUAUUCAAUGAUGUCAGCCUUCCUGUUAACCUCUAGGCAACCUUUCUUGACUUUGGUGGCUCCAUCCGAAGUAUAGCUUCUAUCUUACUUGGAUUAGCUUCGAUACCCUUUGUUGAUACCAAGCAACCAAGAAAUUUGCCCUUCUUCACUCCGAAGACACAUUUUCUGGAUUUAGUUUAAGACUAGCUCUUCUGAAGUUAGCAAAUGUUUCUUGCAAAUCAGCAACGUGAUUUUCUUGAUUCGUGCUCUUUACCAUGAUAUCAUCAAUAUAUGUCAGCACAUUUUUGCCAAUUUGAGAGUGAAGGACUUUGGCAGUCAUCCUGCUGAAAUUUCCUCCUCCAACAUUCUUGAGCCCCUCGGGCAUCCGAAGGUAGCAAUAGGUCCCACUAGGGGUUAUGAAGCUUGUCUUAGGCUCAUCCACCUUCUUCAUCCAGAUUUGAUGAUAACCUGAGUAGCAGUUCAAUAGUCUCAUGAGCUCUGAAGUAGCUGUUGCAUCCACAAGAGAAUCUAUUCUUAGUAAUGGGAAUUCAUCCUUCAGUCAUGCCUUUAUUAAGAUAUGUGAAGUCGAUACACAUUAUCCAUUUUCCAUUAGCUUUCUUUACCAUCACAGUAUUGGCCAGCCACUCUAGGUAUGUUACUUCUCUGAUAACACCAGCACUCAGAAGCCUUUUUUACUUUGUUUCGCGCGCCCUCGGCUUUAUCAUCGGACAUUUUUCGAAGCCUCUGCUUUCUUGGCAUGAAGGUUGGGUCUACAUUGAUUAAGUGCUCAAUGACAUCUCUAUUGACACCAUAGAGAUCAUUGGCUAACCAAGCAAAAACAUCCUUGUUGUUGAAUAGGAAUCUCAAUAAAGUCAUAUGAUUAUUCAUGUUAUUUCUCAUGUUUCAUAUGCUUCGUCUUUCAUUAACAUAUAUUGUGAUGAUGAAGAUACGUCCUUCAUGACCUUCGUCCGAAGAUCGUUAUAUCCUAAGGGAAAUAAUGCUUCGAAGGACGAAGGGCAUUAACCAUUAACCUCUUUUGUGUUGCCUUGUUCUUAAUUCAUAGCAUUUGAGAACAAGUCCCCAACAUUGGCGCCCACCUCCGGUGUACUGACUUCCGCAAUCUUCGGCAAAGCAUCAACCUUCGUCAUGCCGCCAAAGAAGAUAACAGCGCCAGGGGCUGCAUUGCAGCCACUGGACACAAACCAGAAGACUCUCUCUCUCCGAGAGGCCAGAAGCCAAAAGAGAAAGGCCAUCAGUCCAACACUUCAGCAGGAGGAGUUGGACUAGGAGAUCAGGGACAUGGAGAUCAUUCACCAGCAGGUGCAAAGGAAAAAGGAGAAGAUGGCUCGGCUGGCCGACCUUCAAAAGAAGAUCGAUGAAGCUACUAAGGAAGUGUGUCAUCUUACUCAAGAUGAUCAUGACCGAAGGCCCCAACACAGGGAGCUUCAUCAAGAGGGCUCAUUCAACGAAGAUGAAUGGUACGAUGAUUUUAAUCAUGGUACCUUUACUUUUGAUGAUGCUUCUCCCCUGGCAGCAGAAUUGCAGGCUAUCCCAUGGCCACAAUCCUACAAGCCACCCCAGCUAUCCAUGUACGAUGGGCACUCGGACCCAAAGCAAUUCUUGAUGAGCUAUGAGGCAACAAUAUCCUCAUAUGGAGGCAACACAGCUGUCAUGGCAAAUUCCUUCGUCAUGGCAGUCCGAAACGUGGCCCAUACAUGGUACUCUUCUCUUCGGCCAGAGACAAUCACGUCAUGGCAGAAGCACAAGGACAUGCUGGUUACCAGUUUUCAAGGCUUUCAGAUGAAUCCAGUCACAGCUCAGGCCUUGUUCCAGUGCACACAAGACCAUGAGGAAUACCUUCAGGCGUAUGUUUGAAGGUUCUUACGACUGAGAGCACAAGCGCCCAUAGUGCCCAAUGAAAUUGUCAUUGAGGCUAUUAUCAAGGGUCUUCGGCCAGGACCUACGACCCAAUACUUCGCCAGGAAACCUCCCCAAACUCUGGAGAAGCUGCUUCAGAAAAUGGAUGAGUACAUCCGAGCUGACAAUGACUUCCGACAAAAAAAGGAGGAAGCUUACAGAUUUUCUGAGAUGACUAGGGGCUUUGGAGGGAGAAUCCACCCUAGGAAUAUCAGAUCAAUCCACAGCUCUAGUCAGAAUGAUGACAAAGGAAGCCAGCUUCAGAGGCGACAGCACACCUCACAGUCUUCGGGACAGCAGCAAAGCUCCUUCAGGCCACUAGCUCCAAGGGGCAGAGGCGGCAAGGGCUUCGAAGGAAGAUAUGGGGAUCAGCCUAGGAAAAUCUAUUGCUUGUUCUGUGGUGAGGACAAAGGCCACACUACAAGAACCUACCAGAUCACUAUUCUGAAGCAAAAAGAGAUUGCUGAAGCAGAAGCUCGACAGAAUCAGCCGAAGCAAGUCCUACAUAUUGCUUCGUGCCACUCUCCCUACAUACCAGAAUAUGUGGGCAACCAACCUGCAGUUUCUGUUGCUUCGGCAAGCCAUUCACAGGCUUCAUGGCCUCAGCUCCCACCGCCACCACUACUGCAACCUACUUAUUCCUGAAGCCAGCAGCCAGAAGGGCGCCAGCACUCCCAACAACAACGUGAAUUCAGGGUGGAAUCCGAAGCUCGUACAGUCAAUAGUACUAUACCAGAAUCGAAGCACAUAUACUGAGCGAUAUCCUGCUUCUGAAAUACUUUUAUGUUCUAUGUCACUUUGCUUUUUAAUAAGAACAAGCAAUGUAAAUUUAGUUUUAAUUUCUUGUAAUGAUUUUUCUUCUAUCAGAAUGAAAUAUAUCUUCUUCACAGAUUUACGAAGCUCAAAAGUCGUUCCUAAGGGAAUGUAGAGCUAAAUUUGCCAAAGCUACAAAAAAGUCGUUCCUAAGGGAUCACAGCGUAAGUUUUGAGCUCAAAAGUCGUUCCUAAGGGAAUGCAGAGCCUAAAUUGCCGAAGCUACAAAAAGUCGCUCCUAAGGAAGCGCAGCGUAAGUUUUCUGCUCAAAAGUCGUUCCAAAGGGAAUGCAGAGCCAAAUACCGCUGAAAUAUAAGGCGAAGAAGUUCAAAAGUCGUUCCUAAGGGGAUGCGGAACUUAUACCGUCGAAAUAUAAGGCGAAGAAGUUCAAAAGACGUUCCUAAGGGGAUGCAGAACUUACAUCACCGAAAUAGAAGGUGAAGAAGCUCAAAAGUCAUUCCUAAGGGGAUGCAGAGCUUGUGUGUUCCAGUGUGGGCGUGUGCGUGUGUGUCUUCGACAUCCUCAUCAUUUUGCAUCAUAUCAUCACAUCAUUUCGCAUAACAUCACAUCAUACAUCAUAUUGCAUCAAUGACACGAGAAUUGAAUGCGGAGCUGAUCUUCGGAAAAUGCUUCAUCAAAAUGAAAAUGUGCUAAGGCACGAAGUAAGCUUCGGGAAAUACAGUUUCAUCAGCCCUAUCACAAGAAGGGAUCUCUCUUUGCGAAGAAUGGAUAUCUUUCUUUACGAAGUAUGGAUCUUUUUGUUUACGAAGCAUGAAAAGAAGGGAAGGUGUUUUUUUGCCGAAGGCUCAAAACGGUAUGUAUGUAAGUUUCAUGCAUUACAAAGAAAUAAGUUACAAUAAUCUACAUAUUCGAUUCAAGGUUACACACAUCAAAUAUCAUAGUUUUGUUACAAUGGAAACCUACUCUUCCUUCAUUUGUUAUAUACAUCAAGCUUUUCAAAAUGUUUAUUAUAAUAAAAUCUAUUCCUCUUUAAGGACUUUCUCUGCAACUUCGUUCAGUAAUUUGUUGAUGACUUCGUCGACAAUGGAUUCAGCCAUGUUUAUGAUGUCCAGCGCUUCCUUCAUUUCUAGAUCAGCUAGGGGAUCGUACGGUUCCGGCGACGGAGGUAGUUCAGCUGAAGUAGGAAAAAUUAAUAAAUUCGAAGCCACAAAUCAAGUACUGAAGCUAAAAAGCCAAAAAAAUAAUACAUAUACGGUUUUCGCGCUCUGCAGUCUCUUCAGCUCGUUUUGCUUCCGCUCGGGCGUCAUGGGUGUCUUGUUCACUUUUUUUUAUAGUUUCAUGGGCCAUCUCUUGGCCACCAUUCACCCAGACAUCAUUGUAAAACUUCCCACCCAUCAAGGUUGCUUCAGCUGAUGGAUCCUUCGUAUCAUCCACGGAGAAGGCAGCUUCGGCCUGGGCCAUGGUCUUGACGUGAUCACACCCGGCCUUCUCCAAGAUGACUCAAAUCCCCACGCACCGGAAAACGUACAAACAUCCCCCCGAUCACUCAGAAUUUCUUCGAAGGCUUCGGCUUCUCCACUUAUCCAAUCAAUAAUGCCUUCAGGGUCGCCUCGUACGAAGUUUUCUUUGGCAGAGUAGGCACCCACUUUGGCGAAGCUAGUUUUCAAUUUUUUCACACAAUCCAAGGAUUUCUCGAAACACCUUUCCUUGGAUUGGCGAAGUUCUUCAACAUUUUUCUCUAGAUAAUUUUUCCAGUACUCGCUGAUCUCUCGGUUGGCCUGUGCGAGCGCACAAUUCUCUUUAGCUUAGGCCAGCUGUCUCCAAAGAUCUUCAAUUUCUGUUUUCUGGGCUUCGGCCUGAGCUUUAUAGUUAGCUUCGUCUUCCUUUACUUUAUUUACCAAAGAAAUCAAAAUUUUAUCUUUCUCUAGACCUUCGUUUCUUAGUUCAAUCACUUCUGAACGAAGGUUAUUAAGGGCCAUUGUAUAGCCUUCGUCUUCAAUAUUCUUCUGCGCCCUAAGGGCAUUACUAAGAAUUAAGCCCUGCAAAGAGGAGGAAAUAAUUGAGCAUGGCAAAUAAUAUACUUAAUUCUCAAAUUCAAAGUUAACUUCUAUACCUUUAUAUUGUUGUAUGCUAGGCUCUCAGCAAGAUCAUCCUUCGGCAAGGUCAUCUUCCAGCUUCGGGAAUCCCAUGCUUUUACCUAUCUCCCGACAAACAAAUAUUUCUUUAUUGUCCGGGAGAUAGUACAAGAAGUCGUCAUCGUUAGUGCCAUUAAACACUAAAGCUCCCUUCGGAUAUUUCAACUUUUGUGCAUAGUGGCUGGCUUCCAGAAUUUCUUCUUCGGACAAUUUCUUCCCCGAAGCGUGUCGAAUGAUGUAGUCAACAUUUUCGAUCGGAGCUUCGGAAGCAGGAGUCUCGAUCUUUUCAAGUGCAAUCUGCCCUGUCGUUUUUUCCUCAGGCGUGGCAGGCUUCACCGUGACGGACGCUGAAUGCCCAGCUUCGGCCUCAGCCUAAGUUUUCGUAGCUUCGGCUUCUGCCUGCCCAGUUUCGGCUUCGGCUUGCGCUUUGGUAGCUUCAGCAAUUUUCUUUGUAGGAGCAGGGCUCAAGGCCUUUGUAGUUUCCAGCACAGCAUCCAGCAUGUUGGCCAUCCUCCUUCUCUUGGGAGUCACGGCAGAAGCCUUUUGCACCUUCGGCAGUUUCGCCUCUGUCGGAGGGCUCAAAAUUUCUGGCAUUUUCAUUAUUUCCUCAAUUUGUGGCUCUUCGGCCUUAUCAACCUUAGCUUCGACUGGCUCGACUGUAGGCGUCUUCGGCAUUACACUUGGUUCUUCAGCGCUCUGUGCAAUUGAAGCAACUUGUCUUGCUUCAGUAGUUGAAGAGGCUCCUUCGACAAAUUUAGGCACCACGGCCAGUUCAAUGUAACGCGGCCGGUGGGUCAGAUCUUUCAUCUUUUUGCCCUUCGGCUCAGCUGCAGUGGCCGAAGCGCCAGUCUUCCUCUUUUUUCCUUGCCCUCGCAGCGGGAAGCGAUAAUCAGGGUAUAUGAAGCCAAUCGCAUCAAAGACCCUGUUCAGUCUUUUCUUCCCCCAGCCUCCGAAGGCUGCGGACAAAGCAUUAUCUUUGGCCUUGGAGUAAGCUCCAAGUAUCUCAUCACUAGUAGCUUCAAUACACUUCAGCCAGUCGUCGUUUGGCUUAUCAAACUUCUCCCUAAAUCUGAAGGUAUACUUCAGUCGGACCAGACCACCAUCACUAGAGUCGGUGGUGGUCUCCUUCGACAUUUCCCAGCUUUCCACAAGUGGCCAAACCCUGAAGGAUAUAUGCUCUUGAAUUAAAUCCCUUGUGCCAAUGAAGGAACAAACAGUGCUAAAAGCCCUCUGACAUGCUUCAACAGCGUCAUCAAUUUCCACCUUCGGCCUUCGAAGGCCGAAGCGAGACCAAAUGGGUCGUUGUAUGGUUUCUUUGAUAUCUUCCCUUGCCUUUAAGUCAUUUUUAACAUAAAACCACUCCUCCAUCAGGCUCUGGGCCAUCUCUUCCAGAAUGUUGGCACUGGGUGGCUUGCGUUGGGGCGAGCAAUAAAUCCAUAACAACCGAGGUUGUUGUGGUACUGUUCUUUGCCGGUAGUCUUCGUCUCAUACAAAAGCUCGUGCAUACUACAGAAGCACUUCGCGCUUGGCUCUAGCCCCUGACUCCUUAUAGCCCAGACAAAAAUCCCCAUCGUUAUUAUGGCUUCGGGGGUGAUCUAAUGAAGGAAGAUCUAAUAUAUCUUUAGCACUUCAACCACAAACUUGCUCAAAGGGAACCGAAGACCAGCCUUAAAAAAGCUUCGAUAGAUAACAACUUCAUUUUCCUCAGGGGCAGGGACGAUGUUGUCUCCGCCAGCUCUCACGAUAGACAUGUCAUGAAAGUACCUUCCUCUCAUGUUGUCAAGGUGACUCUGUUUAAUAGUCGAUUUUCCGAAGACAAGCAUGGCUUGGUCGCCAGGGCCGAUCUUCAGAAUCUUCGUCUCCACUUUCUACAUCAUAGCUAUCACUGUCAUCAGUAUCUUCAGACAAACCUUCCAAUAUUUCUUUAGUAAUAUUCUAUGUGUUUGUUUUUGACAUAGACUCAAUAAACCCGGCGAUAAAAGGAUCUGCAACUUUUCUUUUCUUCAAAUAACUUUGUUUCCUCAGUUAGCUUCGUCUCCACAGUCAUCUUCUUUUCCUCAGUCAUCUUUUCCCCAGACAUGGCGAAAACGUCUUUGAACCAAAGCUCGAAAGGCUCAAGAAUUAGGCAAGAGCUAGUGACCAAGAGCUAAAAAUUUGACACAAUAACACAAAUGGCAGAAAUGGUGUGUCAAAUACCGCUGGCGUGGGUUCAUAUUUAUACGCUCAGUGCGUUGCAACUUGAAGGGCCCCAUCUGUCGUUGACUAUUGCUAUUCUAGCAAAGGGAAGGUGUUUUUUCGGACCUUCGGCUUAAGGCAUUCAUUUAUGUCGCUGUUUGAAUUCUUUUUUAUAACAAAUUAAUACUACGAGGGGCUACUGUUGGGAGCCUUCGUCUUCCGAAGGUCCUCAAAAACAUGAUUAUCAAUGUUUCCCAAGUGUAAUAUAUGUACAGGAACCUUCGGACUCGGAAUGAAGUUGUACACAAUAUAAGGAGCAUGGUUGGACGAAGGUUGAACCAGCUACGAAGCUAGGCGCAAGGAAGCUUCGGCUCAGUAGCAGAAUAAGGAACCGACUUAAGGAGGAAAAGGCUAUCAGGUCCUCGAUAGAUUGUCUUUGAGUCAAUAGUAAACAUAAAGGGCAUGAAUGUAAUUUUACACAUGCUACGCCCUGUGCCUAUAAAUAGAAAUGAACAGUACUCCCGUACCGUUCACGCUGAUUUGUAUUCGCUCGUGUGUCACGCUUGGACUUUUUGCCUUCUGUCAAGCCGAAGGUACAAAUGUAAUUCAAUAUUGUUCUUAUUCAUCCAUGAUGAUAUAAUAAAGAUAUAUUAAUAAUGUCAUAUGAUUAUUCAUGUUAUUUCUCAUGUUUCAUAUGCUUCGUCUUUCAUUAACAUAUACUGCGAUGAUGAAGGUAUGUCCUUCAUGACCUUCGUCCGAAGAUCGUUAUAUCCUAAGGGAAAUAAUGCUUCGAAGGACGAAGGGCAUUAACCUCUUUUUGUGUUGCCUUGUUCUUAAUUCAUAGCAUUUGAGAACAAGUCCUCAACAUUUUGUUGGGGGCCUUCAUCUUCCGAAGGUCCUCAAAAACAUGAUUAACAAUGUUUCCCAAGUGUAAUAUAUAUACAGGAACCUUCGGACUCGGAAUGAAGCUGUACACAAUAUAAGGAGCAUGGUUGGACGAAGGUUGAACCAGCUACGAAGCUACGCGCAAGGAAGCUUCGGCUCAGCAGCAGAAAAAGGAACCGACUUAAGGAGGAAAAGGCUAUCUAGUCCUCGAUAAAUUGUCUUUAAGUCAAUAGUAAACAUAAAGGGCAUGAAUGUAAUUUUACACAUGCUGCGCCUUGUGCCUAUAAAUAGAUGAACAAUACCCCCAUACCGUUCACGCUGACUUGUAUUCGCUCGUGCGUCACGCUUGGACUUUUUGCCUUCUAUCAAGCCAAAGGUACAAAUGUAAUUUAAUAUUGUUCUUAUUCAUCCAUGAUGAUAUAAUAAAGAUAUAUUAAUAAUGUCAUAUGAUUAUUCAUGUUAUUUCUCAUGUUUCAUAUGCUUCGUCUUUCAUUAACAUAUACUGCGAUGAUGAAGGUACGUCCUUCAUGACCUUUGUCCGAAGAUCGUUAUAUCCUAAGGGAAAUAAUGCUUCGAAGGACGAAGGCCAUUAACCAUUAACCUCUUUUUGUGUUGCCUUGUUCUUAAUUCAUAGCAUUUGAGAACAAGUCCCCAACAUUGCUGAAGCAGUCUUUUCUCUUUUAUGCUUAUAUUGUUGAUGAGCUUCGGCUUCAUCUAUGUUAUGGAUGGCCUUUGAAUCCAUCCAGUUCCCUUUGGCUCUCCUGGCAUCCUCUUGGCUUCCAUGUACAACGAUAGGCCCUUGAUCAGAAGGUAUCUUCAUGCAAAGAUAUGUUGGGUGGAGUAUUGCUUCGAAGGCGUUUAGCGUCCCUCGACCAAUGAUUGCAUUAUAGGGAUACUCUAUAUCGACAAUGUCAAAGACAACCUGUUUUAUCCUUGUAUUGUGAACAUAGCCGAAGGUAAUCGGCAUAGUUAUCUUGCCGAGCGCCACGAUAUGUCUUCCUCCGAAGCCGCAGAGGGGGUGCGUUGCAUCAUGUAUCUUGUCAUCUGCCUAUUGCAUUUGCCUGAAAGCCUUCACAAAGAAGAUGGUUGUCGCACUGCCUAUGUCCAUUAGGACAUUGUGGACCAGGAACCCCUUGAUGACACAAGAUAUGACCAUUGCAUCAUUGUGAGGACAAUCCUUGAGCUGAAGAUCUUCCUGGGAGAAGGUGAUUGGUAUAUGAGACCACUUAGACUUGAUGAAGGGUCCUUGCACUCCAACAUGUUGUACCCUUCUCUGUGCUUCCUUCUUCUGCUUCUUAUUGGCUGGUUCAGAACUUGAGCCGCCUAUGAUUGGGAGCACCAGCUUCGUAGCCGAAGGUGCUACAACUUGGUUGUCUUGCGAAGCCAUUGUCGCAAUCGUGGAAGUAAGUUCACCGGAGGUGGGCGCCAAUGUUGGUCACUUGUUCUCAAAUGUUGUAUAUCAAAAACAAGGCAACACAAUCGCUAGUUAUUACAGUUCCUUCGCCUUCUGAAGUAUUAUCUCCUUAUGGGUAUAAUACUUCAUCAAACGAAGGUAAAAAAAGACAUACCUUCAUCAUUUAAUCUCUGAAUAGGAAUGUGAAAGGAUAAAUAUGAUAACUGCAUCUUAUUAGCUCAUUUAUUCUUGCAUUUCAUAAAACAUAAAUGAAUAUCAACAACGUUAAUAUUACAUUGAUACCUUCGGUUUGCUCGAAGGUGUGGAUGCGAGAAAGUGAAUACAAUCCAGCGUGAACAGUACGUGGUUAUUGUUCAUCUUUUUAUAGGCACGGGACUCAGUCCGGAUAAAAUUACAUCCAUAUCCUUAAACGUUUAUUUACAAGCAACUAAAGCUAAUAAGGUAUAUUUAGUCUUUUACGUCUUUGCUUGAUCCGAGCCGAUGCUAUUGAGCUUCGGCAUUCUGCAACAUUGCUUGUACACAAGGUCAUUGUCUUGAGAAGCAGAGCCGAUGUUGAUGAUAGCUUCAGCGAGGCUUUGUAUUAUCUUGCUGAAGGUGUUUUUGUCUUGUAGACCUUCGAUGGAGAAGAAGACCCCAACAGACAUCUCAUUUAAUGAGAAUGAAACUCCUAGAAAACUUGCACUUGAGUCGAGUAAAAGACAUUACAAGUUAUCUGGUACAUCCGGUACGUGAUAAUAAAUGAUAAAUACAAUAUAUAGAGCCACAAAAACUUCAGGCGAUUAAAGUCUGAUGCUACAAAGAUCAAUAAUAGAACAAAAUAAUGUAACAAGAGAAAAAUGUUGUCUUUCAUAUUGUUACUUUUAAUUAGUGUUUAGCAGCAGUAUAUUUCAGUCUUACAAUAACAGUGGAAGAUCUAGAUAAUAAAAAAAGAAGAAGAAGAAAAAAAAUCAAACAAUGUAUAGCAUACUCCACAAAUUGUACAUUCACGCUCUAAGUUAAUAAAGUUAGUAAGUAGUUAAUACUAUAAUAUGUACCAUAAUACUUCAAAGUCGAUUAAUGAAUAGUUAUAUUCUCAUCAGGCCUUGUCAACUGUCAUCUCCUGGUGCCGACGAGGAACCAAUCCCAACUUGUAGCCAGGGCUUUGUGGGCUCACCAUCCAUGCUCACCAUGUCUUUGAGGUCGCUAAUUUUAGCUCUCUUCGCUGGUGUGCUGUCUGCCUCUUCCUCCUCCAUCACCGCAUCGAUGGCAUAUUUUUUUCUUGUGGCAUCCUUCUUCUGGUGAUUAACAUUGCUUGGUGCUGCGACAGCUAGUGGCUGCAAGUGCGCUACGGUUGCGUUUGGCGCGAUUGUGAGGUCGAGCACUGGCGGAGGCACGUCCACGACCAUUGGUUGGGGCUGGAGGUUGAACUGCUGUUUGACUACGCCGCCAACGAAAUCUUCCGUUAGCGACGGGAUCAUGCUGGCGGUCACCGUGUUACAAGGGUCUGAUGUGUUUGAGGUAAGCCAGUGGCAUCUCUUAUGACCACCGAGUGCUUGGCCAGAGGUGAACAGCCGGUGGCAUACCGAACACUCAUGCAUUUUGGUGCUUUUCUUGAACUGUGCCGCUGCAACGGCGAGCGUGGUCUCAACUAAUGGAUUGUGUUCGACGAUGGGCGCAAGCGCCAUGGAAGAAUACAGUGAUCGUGGCGUGUCGGAACUUGUCCCUAUGUUGGUGUCGACGAUAGUGGUAGCAAAACCUCCUGGGACAUGUGCACUCGCACUCGCACUCGCACCUGCAUUGAUGAUUUCGUCGACAGCAGGAGCUUUGCCAUUGUCAUUAUUUCUUCCAUCUUUGGCGAUAUUAACGGCCACCACUUGAUGAUGGCGUGUUGAUUCAGUGGCAUUGCUCGUCUCGAACUUGGCAGCGAAACACCCUUUGACUUUCUUGUGGCUAGCCCGGUGGCCUCCAAGAGCCUGGUGUGAAGUGAAUACCUUUUUGCACGCCUUGCACUCGAAAACUCCUCCACGUGGUGCGGGUGAGAUGUAUUGAGGCACAACGAGUGGCGAAGAAGGCAGUGCGGCUACGACUGACUCUUGUGAUUGUGUGAAAAAAGGAAUCGGUUGCUUCUGAUGAUGAUGAUCGUCUUUUGUAAUCGUCGCGAUAACGUUCGCCUCCUGGUCAUUAAUGUUGGAUUUGGAAGACGAUAGCAUAACGAGACAUUUCGCGAGGUCUUCCUCCUCUCCCACGGUGCUGGUGGAAGGAUCCUCCUCGGUCGUCCCAACGCGACGUGAUCUCUUUCCCUUCGACCAUGGGGUUGCUAGUAUCGGAUCCUCGUCACCACCACCAUCAGCGUUCGUAGGGGGAGAUGAUGACGAAGGUACCGGACUACCCACCUGCUCUUCUUCUCCUCCUCCUCCCUCAUCCUCUGAUCUGCUGCAUCUCGCAUGCUGAAGGAAAAGUUCCAAUGACGUAAACUCCUUCCCGCAGUUUUUGCACAGCUGACAGCUCCUGAUCAACCUAUUCGGAUUCGCCCGGAGCGCAUACGCAUGCGUCGCCGACGUCCCAACCGCGUCGUCCCACUCAUCUGCUCCGGGGCAUCGCGUGACCCCCUCUUCAUCGAGCGAGCCAUCGUCGUCGUCGACGACGCCGAACCCGUCGACGUCGCUAGCAGGGCCGUGGGCUCUCAUAUGCCCACCGAGCGCACUGCCACACGUGAACCCCUUGUUGCAUACUCGACAGAAGUGCUUGUACUCUGGCGGUGAUGGCGGCGGAGACGGUGGCAUCUGGGGAAUUAAAUGGUAACAUGUAUGUAGUGGUGAGGGGAAAGAUCAAAUUAAUUAAGUAACUAAUGUGAUUGAUAUAUAUGGAGAGCUAUAGCUAGCAGGAGAAGAAGUUUGCAUGCACAUCACAUACCAGGGACGUUAGAGAUUCACACAUUGCCGUGCGACAGAUUCAAUGCCCGCUACAACGAUGUCUUCCGAGCUAUAAUAACACGCCACAUGCCUAUGCUGAUCACAACAAUUAAUUGGUCAUGGUAACAUGUGGUGAGGGUAAAGAUCAAACAAUGCAUGUGGGGGAAAGACGCAGUACGUACGCACGAACCAGAGAUGACGAUGGAGAUUCACACAUUGCUGCCGUGACCGUGGGACAGAUUUUGUGGUGGCGACGAGACGACGGCGUCUUUCUCGUCUUUCUCAGCGACAGUGCGUCGUCCCAGUACGUUGUUGCAGCAAACCGUUUCUCUUUCAACUUCCUAAUCGUAAAAAUUGUUUGCCAUAUAUAUACAUGCUUCUCUGCCUCCCUUCCCAUGCAUGCAUGGUGUUAAUAAGCUAGCGACAUGCAAGGAGACCAUGGGUUGCUGGGUCGCCCAGUCGCCAAGUACAUGGUGGGGAAACAAUCCCUUCCGAUUAAUUGGCGGAAAAUAUCUAAACCACUGGUCCUUAAUAGGGUCAAGUUGUCUACGUCUAAUGGCGGUUAACCACUAGUUAUUUGAGCUACCGCGCCCUUCUUUAGCCAAUCCGUCUUCCUUUCCGGGUUGGCACGAUCCCGCAAUCAGAGGCUAGACACUUGCGGUAUAUUCGGAGUGUCCGUUACCUAUUUGUAGGGUGCAAAACCUUUGCUUCGAAUCUAUUUAUUCGUUUAACCAUUCAAGUACGGAAGUACCUUAUGAAAAUCCUUUCGUGACGACCACUCUUCUUUAAAACUUUAGUCUCUAAUUUUUCAAGUGCGUUCAAACAAACUAGUUACCUUAACAAAAGAACUAGCAAUGCUUGCAUCGUGGCUACAACAUUCCGUUAAAUAUUACAACAUUUUUUUUAAUUAAACUAUUAUCAAUUUAAUGCAAGAUUUAACUUAUUUUCAUCAAUUUUAAAUUACUUUUAAAUCAAAGUUGAAAUGUCAAUUUUUAAAACUUGUGGCCAGAUUUAUGUCAUAAUCAUAUCCCAUACUUUCGUAUCAAAGUGGGGACAAAUUUACAAAAAGUUGAUAAAAGGAACGGUAAUGGUGCAAGGUUAUGAAUGUCUUUUCAUGUGUUGAAUUAACACUGUUAAGUGCUAAUAACAGAGCAGGGACAAAAUGUGUGCUCGCUUCUGGAAAAGGAAGGAACAUAGAUGCAAAGUUUUAAAAAUAUGGAUAGAAACGAGGUUGCAUCCCUGAAUAGAGGAAUGAGGAAAAUGUUUUUUAAACCAUUAAUAGUAAAGAUACUAACAAAUCAUUAAAUUAUAUUGACAACCAUGAUAUAUAGUUUACAAAUAUUGUUAUUGUAGAUAAAUUAUAUAUGUUAACUAAAACAUUUGAUAUAAUUAUUCUAAAAAAUAAAUAUUAUUACAAAUGUAAUUUCUUAAUGAUUUUUUUUUUUGAAAAAAUGUGGGAGGUUGGCUAACUACCUAGGCUUCAGGAUUCGUUUAGAGUAAAUAGUGAGGAUCAUGAGACUAGAACCACUACUCGGUCUUAAAUGUAAUCUCAAAUUGUAACAUCGGAUUUAAGCGUUGUGUUGUAGUCGUGUAGAUUUUAAAUGACUAAGUAUAUCGUUGUAUAGUAUUUAAGUCUAUCUCCAGGCUCCAGCAGCUCUCAUAUCUCAUCUUUUAUUUCAACUCAUAUUUCAAACUUUCCUAUAUACACAGUGUUGUCUACAAUGCAAACCAUUAUUUUACACGAUCUGCUGGCCACAGCCUAAGUAUAGACUAUUACCUAAAAUUCUUACUUCGAAUAAAAUAUAAAGGAAUAGUUAAUAAAAAAUAUAAUAAGCAUAUAGGAUUCAAGUUAAAUUGAGGAUAAAAAUAUGUAGCAGCCAAAAAUGUUAAAAGUUGGGGGAAAUAUAGAUUCAUGGUAUUAUAAUAUACAGGUUGUAACAAGAGCCACCGUACUAUAAAACUAUCUCCGGCAGCUAUUACCCAUCUCAUCUUCAUAUUCAAACUCCACCGCGAAGAGUGCAGUCUACAGUGCAAAACAAUGUUUUGGGUGAUUAUUGGGUGAACUGCUGGAGACGAGACGAUAUAAGCCAUGGUUUCAACUAAAUUCAUAUUCAAAAUUGCCUUGCAAUAUGUGUAUAGAUGAAAAAUAUAUAGAUAAAUAAUCGAUAAAUGUAUAAAGUAUAUAAUUUACCAAUUGUAUAAGGAAAUUAUCAGCAAAGAAAAAUAUGUACUCCCUCUGGCCUCCGUCCCAAUUUAUAAUUCGUUUAAUUUAUUUACCUAGUUUGACCAGCUCGUCUUAUUAAAAAAUUACGAAAAAUAAAAAAUCUAGUCUAUAUCUAAAAUAUAUUAUAUGCUAAAGGAUAUAUAUUGUUUGACCGGCUUGUCUUAUUAAAAGAUUUGCGAAAAAUAAAAAAAUAUAUAACUAUAUCUAAAAUAUAUUAUAUGUUAAAGGAUAUAUAUAUAUAUAUAUAUAUAUAUAUAUAUAUAUAUAUGGUAGGUAUAACGGGAGCCCUGGGCUUCCGAUAGUUAAAGGAAGCCCAGGCCGACCACCCCUUCAAACUGGUUCAACCAGCGCGCCCAAACAGGCUGUCGGGUGCGCCACCUGCCACACGUCUGUUAGCGCAAAAAAAGAAAUGCAUGCAUGAGUCAAACACGAUCCAAUGCAUGCGCAUAAAUUUAGGAAAGAUAUGUGCGGCAGUUUCUGUUCUUAAAAUCCUUUAUUUCCUCCAUAAAUUUAGGAUCGCUGCAACAGCCAUGCAGCUAGACGCGUAAGGACCAUUUUAUGCUAUAUACUGAGACUAAAUAUGCUAUACUGUGUUAAUAAUUAUGCAAUUCGAUACACUGCGUAAAAAUAUGUUACCAGCUGCAUGCGCACGAAUUUAUGAUAAAAAUGUGCAAUGAAAGGAAAUGAAUUACACGCAUAGAAACAAAAAAAUCGUAUUUAAUGUUUUAUUUCCUUCAUAAAUAUAAGGUCCCUCCAACAGCCAUGCAGCUAAAACACAUUAAAUCUAGUUUAUGACAUAUACUGAUACAAAUUAUACUAUAUGGUGUAGGUAUUUAUGUAAUUCGUUACACUGCGUAAAAAAUCUGGCAUGUUGUUCACUGGUGGACGCACCUCUGGGUUGGAGCGUAAUAACCUUAAGUUUUGAGCAUAAAAUCCCUCAAUUAUAAGCGUAUAUACCGAGCCAAUGUGAGAGGUUGAUAGCUCUAGUAGGUUGUUAUUACGAUCCUAUUUUUAUGGCAGAUCCGAAAAAUAUGGCAGUCGCAUGCAUGCGGUUAUACAGAUCCUAAAAUUAUGGCAAAAUGCAUGCAUGAGUCAAUCACGUUCCCUUGCAUGCGGGUAAAUUCAGGAAAGAUAUGUGUGGCGGUUUCUAUUUUAAAUACUUUAUUUCCUCCAUAAAUUUAGGAUCGCUGAAACAGACAUGCAACUAAAACUCGUAAUGACCAUUUUAUGCUAUAUACUGAUACUAAAUAUGCUACACUGUGUAGAUAAUUAUGCAAUUCGGUAUACUGCGUAAAAAUCUGCUACAGGCUGCAUGCACACGAAUUUAUGAUGGAAAGAAUAUGCAAUGAAAGGAAAUGAAUUGCAUGCAUAGAAACAAAAAAUCACAUUUAAUGUUUUAUUUCCUUCAUAAAUAUAGGAUCCCUCCAACAGCCAUGCAACUAAACGCAUUAGAACUAGUUUAUGAUGUAUACUGAAACAAAUUAUACUACACGGUGUAGGUAUUUAUGCAAUUUCUUAGACUGCGUAAAAAAUCUGGCAUAUUGUUCACUGGUGGACGCAUCUCCGGGUGGAGCGUAAAAACCUUAAGUUUUGAGCAUAAAAUCCCUCAAUUAUAAGCGUAAAUACCGAGUCAAUUAGAGAUUGAUAGCUCUAGUAGGUUGUUAUUACGAUCCUAUUUUUAUGACAGAUCCGAAAAAUAUGGCAGCCGCAUGCAUGCGGUUUCUAUUUUUAUACAGAUCCAAAAAUUAUGGCAAAAUCGUGGGAGUUUCCAUUGCAUGCGCGCAAAUUAAGAACAGCAUAAAUCAAGGAAUUUCCUUUCAAAUGUGCAUGCAGUAAACUGAUAUACGAACUCUGUGUUAAAGCAUAAAAACAUACAGUUUUUAGCGUAAAUAAUACAUGUGAUAGGCAUAAAACACAAUAAACGAAAAGAAAAAUGCGCCGGAUCAGAGGAUGUCACGCGCGAUCAUCGCUGCGCGCAUCUCGCCCCUUCCGUGACGUCGCUCGCUCGAACAUCGCGCCUCAUGCGUCGCCGUCGCUACUCGCACGUCGACGGGCGUCGCUUGCUCGCCGGCCUUGGAAGUGCCGCCUCCUCGGGGCUUCGGGGACGCCGCCGCUUGCCUGCACAAGGGCCUCGCUGCGGAUCGAGGAACCUCCGCCACCGCGCGUCGAGGUAAUGGAGUUGCGGCCACCGGCCUGGGAAUCGCCGCCACCGCACAAGGACGCUGCCGCCGCUCGCCCUCUGGAUCGGGGGCCACCACCGCCGGCCUGGAAACCGCCGCCACCACAUAAGGACGCUGCCGCCGCCGCUCGCCCUCUGGAUCGAGGGCCGCCACCGUCGGCCUGGGAACCGCCGCCACCGCCGGCCUGACAACCGUCGCUAAUGAAUCGAGAUGGGGCGUAAAAACGGAUCCCUAGCACUACGGAUUUCCAUUUAUAGACGUCUGGACCUGGUCCGGCUCGACCGGAUUGCACUGUCUGGCCUGGGCUUCCAAUAACUAAAGAAAGCCCAGGACUCCUAAUAUACAAUCUAUAUAUAUAUAUAUAUAUAUAUAUAUAUAUAUAUAUAUAUAUAUAUAUAUAUAUAUAUAUAUAUAUAUAUAUAUAUAUAUAUAUAUAUAGUUUGACCGGCUUGUCUUAUUAAAAAAUUACGAAUUUUUUAAGACAUAUCUAUAGUAUAUUAUAUGCUAAAUGGUAUCAUAUUAAAAGUUAAUGAUAAUUAUGAUUAUUUAAUAAGAAAAGCUGAUCAAAUUUGGGGUAAAAAAUUAAACGUAUUAUAAAUUGUAACAGAGGGGAUUUUUAAAAGUCGUGCAGAAACAGAGGGAGGGAGUUUAUCAUCAGUCAACAUCAUCUUCGUUGCAACUAUAUUUUGUCCAUGUGUUUGGACUUUGGAGAGUUGCACAGACCCUCGGCGUGGACCAGGGGCAUCGGCAUAUUCACUUCAUCUGCUUCGUCCGUUUCUGGUGCUCCGAGCAAGCGGAGGCGCAACCUUUUUCGUAUGACCGUAUGGGUGGGAUGUCCUCUGCUGUGCCCACGACCUUUUAUGAUCUGCAAAGUUUAGCUGACGGUGAUGUCGUACCGACAACACGAUCGCGUCAUGCAAAUAUAUUACAUUUUUCCAGCUCUUUCACGCGUCUGAUAUGGAAUCAUUUGGUCCUGUUGGUUGGCGAUUUGGCCAUCGUGGCCCAUGAGUUGCGGUAAAGUGAUGGCAAAGUUAGCGCUGGUCCCUCCCUAUUGAUGGUAAUCGUGCUUACUCCGUAUUUCGCUGUCAAACACUCAGUCCCAAUCGUGCUUCUGUUAGCCGCUGGAAUCAAUUGUUUAUGGUUUUGUUAAAAAAAAAGUGUUGUUCUUCUCUCGGGUCUUUCUUUCUUUUUCUUUUUUACUUUUCCUGUUUGAUCGAGGUAAUAAGAAACACUUGCUACUUGCCAUGUUGGAGUACGAUGCUUGCAAGUUUAAACUCAUAGUGUAAGCCAUGAGUACUCAUUAUGCUAUUUAUGUACAUUCCGUGUGCCCUUUGGGCACCGACACCUUCUCUACCAGGUAACAGCGUGGCAGUGGCGAGGCCGCAGCUUUCGGACCCCAGUCGCUGCUACUGCUAGGCGAUAACGCAGCUGGCUUUACUAGACUGCCGCCGCCUGCCGCUGCUGCGCCCGCGCUUCUCCGGCGCAGACGAGCGGCCUGCCGAGCCGCCUGUCGACGCGGUACCAGCCGCCGUGGCUCACCUCCCGCUCCAGGUGGCGGCAGUAGCUCCGGAACACGCCGGCGCACACGUUGAGCCUGAACUGCAUCAGGAACAGGAAGUCCAGCUCCAGGGCGCUCAGCUCCGCCGCCGCCAGCCCGCCCACCGCCGCGAAGUAGGAGUUCCUGUAGUUGCGGUCCUCCACGAACUUGGACGCGACGAGGAUGGCCGUGGUCAGCAGGCGCUGCGCGUUGGCGCGCACGACGCGCACGCCGGCGCCGCGGCGGAGCCGGUCCAGGUACGCGUACGCCACCACGUACACCUGCGGCGACACGUGCGCGUAGCGGGAGAAGCGCUCCAGGAACGCGUGCAGGCUCAUGUCCAGCACCGUGCCGCCGUCGAACGCCCGCGCCCGCUUCCUCGCAGCCGCGGCCGCCGGGUCCGAGUCGUCGUCGUCGUCUUUGUCUCCCGGUGCCGACUGGUCGAGGCCGCUCGCGGCCGCCAUGGCCCGCUCGUUGAGGGCGAUGUGCCGCUCCAGGAUGGACGCGAGCACUGAGAUCACGACCGGCGGCGACAGCGCCGGUGACGUCGUUCCGUCGUCCCCGCACGGGAAGGCGAACGCGUCCGACUCCGACGGCAGCUCGCUCGUUGCCAUUUCUUGACUUGUCGGUCGGCGGUCACCAGCACAGACACAAUCGACUCACGGGGACCUGUGCUAUCUAUUGACUGGCAAAGGUUCGCUCGCGCCUCUCGACCACACACGCCUACACAGAACUGCGAGCUCGGUGAACCGUGGCUACUUAUACACGCGGGGCGUCGGCGGAGCUCCUGAUAAACAAUGGUGGGGCUGGGCCGGUGGAGUGAAGUUGACACGAGGAAGGAGCCCGGAAGCAAAGGCACUCGUAGUUAAAUUAAAAAAGAAUUCAGAUGGAUGCACAGCAGACCUGAUCGAUUGCCUCGGCCGGUACCGUGGCUGGGGAUCCGUGAUCGACGAGGCUGGAUUUAUGACAAAUCAUGAAAGACAAAGCAAGUGCUGCCUGCAGAUCAUCCUGUCGGCGCUGGCCGUACUGCCCAUUAGCUGUUUCUCCCGGUCCCAGCUCGCCCGAGCGUGUACGUGCUACCUGCUUGCCGGUCUGGCACACGAGCAUAUUUACGACGCGUGGCCUGCCUGGUGAAGAACCGGCUCUAUUUUCAAUCGCUUCCAUGCCGGCUCGAAAUGCAAUAGGUUAAGAGAUAAACAAACAACAUGGAUUACUCAGCAUUAUACUAUAUCUGUUUUCGUAUAUUUUAUCGAUCGUUAGUUUAUUUUUAAAAUAAAACGCGAUAAAUAAAAAAGAACGGUGAGAGUAUAAUCUAGGUGUCUAAAUUAUAAUAAUUCAUAAGCUGAUCAUUAGAUGCUUAUAUAAUUCGUAAUCUAGAUUAUAUAAUCAUAGAAGUAAACGUAGUUUACAACGGCAGUUAGCAAUGAUGUUUGUUUGUUUGUUCACACGUCCAAGCUCUGCCGGCGGGCGACAGUCAGUAGUGGCAUUGUCGUUCUAAACAACCGGUGCUCGGAGCAAAGGCUCGUACUGCAGACACGUUUGUUCUAUGUAGGGCGGUUAGGGCUGACGCGGACGUUGUGUCUUGGAAGCAGAGGACAAGAGCAUCGACGAGUUGAUAUAUGGCGAUUGCGAGGAGGAUACGGAAAUGCAUCUGUUGAGGAUGACGCGUACCGGCACGCACUAAUUAUAAUAAUUUUUAUUUUUAAUUUCUCCAGAAAACGAUGCAUAUGCGUUCGUUCAGUUGCAAGUUCACGUCGCUUGCUGAGCUCCCACAUCCAGCAUGUACAAACGCAAAGACCAAAUUAUCUGACAAUUUUGACUUAUGCCUUUUAAACUCACCCUUCCCACUUCCAGAAACUUAAAAUGCUGAAGAAAUGGCGACUCAAACCUGACCGUAGGAAAAAUGUUAGUUCUGGCGCUGACAUGACACGCAUACGCAUAGGGCGUGGGGGCAGAACAGAAACACGAGCCUGCCACUUUCUCGACCUGCUUUGGUAUUAUAUCUACCGUACACGAUAUAAUUAGCUAAAUCCCAACAUUGGGACUACAAAGCUAUUUUGAUAAUGUCCCACGUCUGGCCAGUUGGAUGGGCCGGCCUGGAGAUAAUAAUAAUAAUGUCGCUGCGUGCCAAGCAAAGUUGACAACUCUUUCGAAGCGAGACGGGAAGAAUUGCAAGUUGGCAAACGAAAUUAGAAGCGACCGAACCAAUAAUGAUACAAGCUGUCAAUCUGGUGUGUGCACAAAAGCGUUUGUUUGCUUCUCCGUUGAUCACCGAAAUACUUUUGGCCUAUUGUAUCCUUUGCUCAAAGUGUUCGUAGAUAGGUAAAUAUAAAAUGAACUUAUUAAUUAAAAAAUAAAAUAAUUUUAGACCAUAUUUGAAUGCACUAGACUUAAGAGUAACUCCAAAAAAUUAGCUAAAAAGAUUAGCCAAAUUUAUUGGUUUAGCUACUCUCUAAAAUAUAUUUUACAAAAUAAGUGUAGGUUAAUACAGACUCGGUAAGCCUAUGGACUAAAUAGAGAGUGAAGCAUGCUAUCCCAAAAUGGAGAGCGAAUGAGUAAGGAAAAAGAGCCAUUAAAUUUGAAGAGUCGUUUAUAGAGUUUAUUGGAUAUAUUUUUCUAAUAUUAGCUAAAUUUACCUUUACAAAACCAUAUACAUACUCUCUUGUAGAUGCUCUAAUAAUUAACAUAUAAAAUUAGAUGAUUUUUAGUUGCACCUUUAACUACCCAUUAGUUAGCUGGUUCAACUCAGCUAAAAUUAGAUAGCUAUUUGUUACAACAUCUUCAAGAGACUCUUCAUUUUUAACUCUUUAUUUGACUCUCUAUUUGUCUCUUCAUAAAUAUUACACUUUAUAUGUAUCACCUCACUCUAUCAGACUCUCUAUCUGAUAUGGAUAGUCGGAGUGACUAGCCAAGUUUUGCUAGAAAGUUGGGAGAGGUAAAUUUAGAGAGCCGCAUAGCUUGACAAGUUAAAUGACUAGUUUGUUAGAGAGUUGUUUUGUUAUUUAGGGGGUGUUUGGUUAGAGGGACUAAACAUUAGUCUCUAGUUUUUAGUCUCAUUUAGGGCAUGUUUGUUUCGCCUUAUAGAUUAUAUAAUCUGGAUUAUAAUCUAAAUUAUAUAAUCCAGAUUAUAAUCUAGAUAUACUAUAAUCUAUAUGUAAUUGUUUGGUAGUUUAGAUUAUAUAAAUGUAGAUUAUUCACAAAGACAACAAUACCCUUAUUUGUUUAUUUGAGGUGAGAAAAAAAGAUGGCAUAUAUUGUAAUUUCUAUUUACAUAACCAUGGGUAGUGGGUCUUUUGCCAAAAUAAUCUCAAAUAAGCUACUCUUUAGGAGAUUAUGAGAUUAUCAUAAUCUGGGGUUUAAAUUAUAUAAUCUGAAUCCAUAAUCUAGGUGUUUGUUUACCUACUGGAUUAUUUGCGUUGGAUUAUAUAAUUUGGAGAGAUUACAAUCGGAAACAAACAAGGCCUUAGUCCCUUUUUUGCCAAACACUAGGACUAAAAUAUAGAUUAAAAUGAUUUAGUCUUUAGUCCUUCACAUAGGUGCUAAAAGAGACUAAAAGCCCAUAAUUAUCAUGUUGCCCUUACUUUUUUGUAUGGAUAACUAAUAUUAUGAGUAUAUUCUAAGGGCAUUUGAGUCUUUGGAUAUUGUAUUUAAUAAUUUUAGAAUCUGUUUAGUCCUUAUAACCAAACAUGUAGGGACUAAAGUUUAGUCCUAGACUAAAGUUUAGUUAUAUGACUAAUUGAAACCAAAUAUGGCCUUAGUAUCUAAAAUUUGGCUAAACGAGUCAUUUGACUAGUCAUUUGGAGAUGCUCUGUCAAUUAAUUUCUCUAGCUAACUAUUAUUGUAGCAUCCAAUUUUUUAGUUUUAGGGGUGUUUGGUUUCGAGGGAUUAUUUUUUAGUCUCUCUAUUUUAUUUAUUUUAAAUUAACAAAUACGAAAACUAAAAAUUUCUUAUUUGGGAAUUUAGAAAUUUAAAUUUAGAAACUUAAUCGUGUCCAGCAGCCAGGAUAACGGAAAGUAACGCCGCGUAAGAAAAACCUUUCGGUCUAAACAUUUCGUCGAACGCCAGCGGCGAGUCGAGCUCGAGCUCGAGCCCCAGUCACCGCAGCCAUGCUCCUCACGAAACCCUACCUCUCCAACUCGCUCCUUCCAGUCCCAUCCCCGCCGCCGUCGGGCCCUACUCUCAGCUCCAACCAUGCAAGCCCCCUUGCCGCCCCUACUUGCCGUCGCAGCCGCCUCCGCAUCUCCGCCACAUCCACGGCUGCGCCGUCUCCUUCGUCGGCUGCCGCUGCCACCGCGUCGCUGAGUCGAGUGGACGUGCUCUCGGAGGCGCUCCCUUUUAUUCAGCGAUUCAAAGGCAAGACGGUGGUGGUCAAGUACGGCGGUGCGGCGAUGAAGUCCCCGGAGCUGCAGGCGUCCGUGAUCCGCGAUCUCGUGCUGCUCUCCUGCGUCGGCCUCCGCCCCGUGCUUGUUCACGGCGGCGGUCCGGAGAUUAAUUCCUGGCUGCUGCGCGUCGGCGUCGAGCCGCAGUUCCGCGACGGCCUCCGCGUCACGGACGCGCUCACCAUGGAGGUCGUCGAGAUGGUGCUAGUCGGGAAGGUCAACAAAAACCUUGUUUCCCUCAUCAACAUCGCGGGAGGCACCGCCAUUGGUCUGUGCGGCAAGGACGCGCGCCUUAUCACCGCUCGCCCGUCUCCAAAUGCAGCGGCGCUGGGAUUCGUCGGCGAGGUUUCGCGCGUGGACGCCACCGUCCUCCAUCCCAUCAUCGCCGCGGGCCAUAUCCCGGUUAUCGCCACCGUUGCCGCCGACGAGACUGGGCAAGCCUAUAACAUCAAUGCUGAUACGGCGGCUGGCGAGAUUGCCGCUGCCGUGGGCGCCGAGAAGCUGCUGUUGCUCACAGAUGUGUCUGGCAUUUUGGCGGACCGUAAUGACCCUGGGAGCCUGGUGAAGGUGGUCGACAUUGCUGGGGUGCGGAAGAUGGUGGCUGACGGGAAGGUAGCUGGUGGGAUGAUACCCAAGGUGGAGUGUUGUGUUCACGCCCUUGCACAAGGUGUACACACCGCAAGUAUCAUUGAUGGGCGUGUUCCACACUCUCUUCUGCUUGAGAUUCUCACAGACGAGGGCACAGGCACCAUGAUCACUGGCUGAGCUGCUUCAUGCCUUCAUGGUAUUUUCCUGUGCCUCUUUUCUCAUAUUGUUGUGUUUUAUGGCUAUGUAGACUAAACUCAAGAUUGCAAUAAGACUACCUAAGUUUGGUUGAGAUGUUUUGUGUUUGUGCGCCCAUUUAGUACAUGUUGUUACAAACUUUGGAUUAGAGGAAUAAUGAUUAGUUCUUAGGACUUGUUAUAAUAUAUAUAAGCACAAUAAUAUGGGCCAUUAUGGGCCUUAACACCCCCUUCAAACUCAAGGUGGAAGCGGAGGAUCUGAAGCAUUGAGUUUGAACAAGUUGAGACGAUGUUGUUCUCUUGUUUGUGCUUUUGUGAAGAAGUGUGCAACUUGCAUAUCCGAGGACACAUGUUGAAGAGCAAUAGUUUUCUGUUGACAAUGAGACCCUGUGAAGAAAACAUCAACACUAAUAUUUUUUGUAGGUUCACGCUUCACAUGAUCAUUUGCAAUUUGAAUGGCUCCAGUGCUGUCGCACAGAAGAGGCGUAGGAGUAUCACAAGAGACACUAAGAUCAGCCAACAACCAUUGUAGCCAUAUAAUCUCGGCAGUAGUGGUAGCAAGAGCUCGAACUUUUGCUUCUGCACUUGAUCUUGAUACAACAACUUGCUUCUUUGAUUUCCAUGCAAUAGGAGAGGAACGAAGAAAAAUACAAACCUGUAAUAGAGCAGCGAUUAGUGCGAUCACUCACCCAAGUGGCAUCAGAGUAGGCAUGAAGCCGAAGAGGACUAUUACAAUCAUAGAAUAAGCCUCGAGAUGUGGUUCCCCGUAAGUAUCUUAAUACACGAAGCAAGUGACCAUAAUGGACUGAAGUAGGCGUAGAGACAAACUGACUCAGAAUAUGAACAACAUGAGCAAUAUCCGGUCGAGCGAUAGUGAGAUAGACUAGACUGCCAACUAUAUGUCGAUAUCUGGAUGGAUCCUGUAGUGGUGAACCAUCAUUCGAACAAAGUUGUAAGUGAAUAUCCAUGGGUGUUGCAGCUGUACGAUUAUCAGUCAGACCAGAGCGAGCAAUAAGGUCUUGCAUGUAUUUAGACUAUAAUAGAUAAUAUCCCUUUGUAGAUUGUAAUACCUCAAUACCCAGAAAAUAUCCAAGAGGGCCUAAAUCAGACAUCUUAAAUUGCUCACUAAGAUGUUGUUUUACUUGAGAAAUAUGUUAUGGAUCAUCACCCGUAAUGAGCAUGUCGUCAACAUAUAAUAGGAGCAAGGUGUGCCCUCGUGAAGAGGAAUAAAGAAAUAAAACUGGAUCAUGGUCACUAGGGGUAAAACCAGCAGCCCUUAUGAGUUAUGACAGCUACGAACCUUUGAAACCAAGCACGAAGGGUCUGUUUCAAUCCAUAUAAAGCUUUACGCAGACGACAGACAUGUUCGGAAGGAAUAUCAACUCCUGGUGGUGGGUGUAUAUAAACUUCUUCAUGUAAAUCACCUUGAAGAAAAGCAUUUUUGACAUCCAUCUGAGAGAUAGUCCAUGAACAUGAUGCUGCAACAACAAUCAAAGUACGAACACUGGUCAUAUGUGCAACCGGUGCAAAGGUUUCAUCAUAAUCUAGUCCCUGAGUUUGUUGAAAACCUAUGGCUACAAGACGAGCUUUAUAUUGCUCAACUGAACCAUCAUAUUUGGUCUUAAUCUUAAAAACCAUUUACAUGUUAUAGGGACUACAUGGGAUGGUAGAGGAACAAGAUCCCGAGUACUCAUUCGAUCAAGAGCAUCCAACUCUUCUGGCAUAGCAAGCCGCCAUUCAUGAAUACUAGAAGCUUCAUGAUAAUUAGAUAGUUCAAUAAUGACAACAACACUAGGAAAUCCAUAGAGAUCUGGAGGUUCAAUUGUACUACGAUCACGAAGAUAAUAUCCCUGGUGAUUUGGUAACACAUCAGCAAACUGUGGCCCAUCAACAAUCUGUAGAUCAUCAAAAACAGAUGGAGAGUCAUCAUUGUUAGUACAAACAUCAACAACUGGUUCGCCAUCAGAAUUGGCCGUGGGACUAGUGCGAGGACGACAAAUGUAGGUUUUGGUAAGUGGUGGUUUUGAAGCGAAGUGUGAAGUGGGUGUUGAGGUAGAAGGAUUUGUAAUGGGAAUGAUAACAUCAGACAAGGAUGGGUAGACAAUGGUAUAGUAGAAGAUGAAGACCCAGAUGGAGCAUGGACGGGAGGAAGGCACAUGAAAGAGGUUGACUCUGUAGAAAAAGAAGAUGAAUGUGUGAGAAAGUUAUAAAAGAAUGUCGGUUUUCAUUAAAACUCACAUCACGUGAAAUACGAAUGUGACGUGCUGAAGGAUCAUAACAUCUAUACCAUUUGUGCUCCGGACUAUAUCCAAGAAAAACACACUCAACAUAUUGAGCAGUUAAUUUAGUCCGUUCACGAGAGGCUAACAACACACAACAUGUACAUCCAAAAACUCUAAGAUGGUCAUAGCGAGGAGUUCCAAAAAGAACUUCACCCCGAGUUUUCCCUGAUAGUGUUGAUGAUGGUUGUCUAUUAAUGAGGUAGACAACGGUAGACAGGGGACAAAAGAUAUAAAAAGAGUGCGAGCAGUUUCUAUGACAUGACAAUGCUUGCGUUCAUCAACACCAUUUUGAGCAUGUGCACCAGGGCACGAAAACUGAGCUAGGGUACCCUCUGAAGUUAGAAAUUGUCGAAAGAAUUGGAUAAAUAUUCACCACCAGAAUCAGAGUGGAAAAUCUUAAUAGGAGCAAAAAACUAGGUGUGAAUCAUGUGGGCAAAAGACCUAUAGAUAGAAAGCAACUCAGAAUGACGUUUCAUGAAAUAGAUCCAAGUAUAACGAGAAUGAUCAUCAACAAAAGUAACAUAAUAUUUAUUUCCACCUUUUGAAACCAAAAGAGGUGGGCCCCAAACAUCAGAGUGAAUAAGAUCAAAUGGUCUAGCAGAAUGAGUCACUGGUAAAAUAAGGAAGUUGUAUUUGUUUUCCAAGAUGACAACCCUUACAAUGAAAGCUAGACUCAGAUGACGAAUGACCUAAACAACUUGAUUUUAUUAAGGUGGAUAGACACGAGCCACACAAAUGACCUAGACGGUGAUGCCAUUGGGCAAAAGAGGCAGCAUGAACUGAGGCUGCAGAAAGCACAUGGGCCGUAGAUGAUGAAGUGGUCGAAGGAAGGCGCAAGCUGUCAAGGAUGUUGAGGUGAGGGCGACGGCCUGUCCCAAUCACAACCCCUAUGCGACGAUCCUAUGCAAAACGAGAUGAGUCAUCAAAUCCAACAAAGCAAUUGUGGUUUGUAAUUUGUCCAACUGAGAGGAGAUUCAUGGAAACUUAGGAACAAAAAUAUAUAUUAGAAACAGUAAACUGAGGUGUGCAAAGAGAACCCUUGUGGGUUAUAUGGCAUAAAGUACCAUCUGCGGUCUGAAUAGAGGCAUUUUCUGUGACAGGUGUAGAAGAGACUAAUUGUGUCUGAUCAGAUGUCACAUGAAAGGAGGCCCCUGAGUCAAGAGCCCAAGACGAUGGCGAGGCUGUAGCUGGUGAAGUAGAUGCAAUAGCAACUGAACCUCUAGGUGCAGAACCUUUGCCACGACCACGAGCUGCCUGCCUGUCGUGUACGGAAAUCGGCCAACUUCUCUGGAAAUUUAACAAAACAAUUUUCAGACCGAUGAGUGUGCUUCUUGCAAUGCUCACAAGGUACUGAGGAAUAUCUCCUUGCCACAUAGGACUUCUGAGUAGCAGCCAACACAUUGUGAGACUUAGAACCAGUAGCAGAAGACAAUGCUUUGAGGCGAGUCUCUUUAGCAAGUAGUUCAGACAAUGCCUUUGCCAUUGUGAGAAUAUCAGAACUGUGGAGCAGUCAUGCUCAUGCACGAAGAGAGUCAUAUUCAGCCCGAAUCCCCAUAACAAAUUUGUAUGUAAAGAACUUUUCAAUGAACUGAUGAGCUGGACAUGGAUUAGUUGCACAAGCUGGCACCAUAGAUAGCAAAGAAAUCAUCAAACAAUCAAAAACAGAAUAGUACUCAUCAAUAGUCAUAUCGUUCUGCUCAAUAACAUGUGUUUGGUGCAUAAUAGUGUGUAAGAGAGCACCACUGUCUUGAACAAACUUUUUUUCUCGAAAGCGCAGGAGAACUGCGCGAUAUUAUAUUAAAGAAGGACAGUUACAGAAAAAACAACUGAGGCGCCUAUGGCGGCCAGUAACAGGCAUACAGAAAUCCAUCCAUGACUAAAUAAGAAACUAACACAAGUUACCACAAUGCUAGCUAACUAGCAGGGAUGCCCGAAAUGGGGGCAGUGAGCAAAGAUAACUUCUUUGCACCGGCCAUCUCCCAUAGGUGAGUCUUGAACAAACUGACCCUUCAAAUGAGAUCAAAUAGCUUUACCAGUGGUGAACUUGGACAAGCUCAUAAUCAUGGAUGGUUUAGUGCUGUUAACCAUGUCAGCCAUCACUUUGCCAUCAUUAAUCUGCCAAGUUUUGAUAUCAGCAGCAUGACUACGAUCCUCACGUAAAGCAGGUGGAUCCUUAGUUAAGUGAAAAAGCAAUCCAUGACCACACAGUGCAGUCUGAACACAGAAGGCCCAUUUUGGAUAGUUGUGACCAUCAAGAACGAUGUUAACCACAGUAGCAUUGACUGACAUGAUGUUGGAUUGAUGAGAUCACACAAUAGUGAUAGCAGCGAAGGAAUGGCCAAUAAGAACUGUAGAGAUGACCUUAUAUGUUGCCCCAAACCUGAUCCGCUGACCCAAAGGAGAUGAAGGUACAACCAAAUCCGUCGGGGAUGAAGUUGAAGAACACAGCCUGGACAGCAGCAGAGCAGUCCAACAAGCGUGCUAUGCUCUGGACAGCAGCAGAGGGUCCGGGAGGCCUGGCGAGGACUUCUUGGACCGCGGAUCCGAGCAGGAACUGGCCAGGCGGCGAGAUCCGAUCCGGACAGAGGGCGGCAGGGCUGGUCUCGAUCGGUGGCGGGUCCUGGCGGCGGAUCAGCAGCAGAUCCGGACAGUGGCGGUGGAGCAGGGCCGCCUGGCGGCAGAUCCGGACAGGUUGGGGUGGCCUGGACGGGCGGUUGCUGGAAGAAGCCGCGACGGUGGCGGAUCCGGACGGCCUGGACGCGCGGGGCGGCGGAUCUGGGCCGCCUGGCGGCAGAUCCGGACAAGGCGGGGCCGCGGCCAGAAGAAGCCGCGACGGCGGCGGAUCCGGACGAUGGGGAUGGCGGCCAAGGAACGUCCAGAAAAAAAUUGGGAUUAGACCCUAACUUUGACCUGCUUUGGUACCAUGUUACUUACCUUGGAUUAGAGGAAGGAUUAUUAGUCCUUAGGACUUGGUAGAAUAUAUAUAGGCACAGUAAUAUGGGCCAUUGUGGGCCUUAACAUAUGUAACAUUGUUGGCCAACUUAUUGAGGAAAAUGAUGAAAUUCUGUCAUUUGUUUGGUAAAUUUGAUAAAUUUAGGUUAUAAUCUGUCUAAGCGAAACAAUAUAUAUUGUAUAGUGGUGAGAGUUGUCCUACUGACUACUGAGUCACCAGGUCGUGUGUUCGAAGCAGCCUCUAUGCAUUUGAAGUAGCCUCUAUGCAUUUGCGGGAGGAAGGCUUGCCUCGGAUUAUACCUUUCCUAGAACCACUCAUGUGGGAACCUCAGUCACUGGGUCUGCCCAGUAUUUAUUGUAUGCAGUUUAGAAUCAUUUGUUUUAAAGGAAUAGCUUCAAAUGAGAUUGUCCUGCAAAGGUUGUAAAACCUGUAAAGUACAUAUUUUUCUGUUUUUGUGCUGCGAAUAGAUGUGAUGCUUGUACUGGUUAGUAUUUCUCUUCAAUGAGUAGAUAAGACACAUCUAGACCGGAAUGAGAGAGAUAUCAGUAGCUUUAGUUAACUGAUUAACUGUGUAAAAUAAGGCUUUCGCUUCGAGUCCUCUGAAUAUCUUUGUAGCAUAAACAUUGUGUUCGAAACAAUAAUGGGCAUGUUUGGUACAACUUUUUCCUGAAGAGCGAGCUUAUCUGAGAAUCUGGGUUCGUGAAUAAUCUAACUGUCAAAAGAAUCUGGAUAUCACGGGGCUUGUGUGUGGAGGAAGAUAAAGGGGCCUAUAUGGUUUAAGGUUUAGGAAGCGGCGAAUUCCUUCUAUUGAGAUGACUCGGUGGAUUCUGCAUUCAUAUUGAUUUGGGUGAUUUUUACAGAAACGGGCUGAGAAGCGAAGCGUUUGGUGGCCAGAAACCGAUUCUGACGGCCAGAAGCCGAUCCAAACAGGCCCGAUGUUGGAUUGAAUAAUAUUUUUUGAAAUGCUUGAUCGUGAACAUCAGUUGUCCUUCAGGCAAGGUUUUUGCACAUUAAUGAGAAUUGUCCAAGUUAUGUGCCAUCCUACUUUGGUUACUGCUCACGAUUAUUUUUGCUUGUGACAUAUGAACUUGAAUGGCGUUAUUUCAAUAGUACCUAACUGCCAAGUGCCAACAACAUCAGGGAUAUUUCAUGGUCAUGGAAAAUGUUUGAUUCACCAUCUCAAAUAUAUUGAAAACCGAGUGAGGGCAUUUAAUUAAGGAGUUAGCAGUAGCAUCACUAAUGUUUUUUCUGUAACUAGUAUUUUGUUAAUCAAGUGAACUUUAGUGAAAAUAUAUUUGGGAUCAGAGGGAAUACUUCAUGUUAGCUCACUCAGUCUGAAAAAAUAUCAUUCUGCUUGUGAAAAGAACCUUCUUGAUGCUGAUUAAGCAUGAUGUGGGUCGCUGGCUCCAUACUGCUCUGCUGGGAUCUAUCAUUAUCUAGCCAUUAGAUACUGCCAUAUCUUUCUAUUAAAAGGAUGGAUUUAAGGAUUCCUUUUUUUUUUGUUUUGCCAGUAUGAAAAUUUUCAGUUGAUGACUAGGUGAGUGCCCGUGCGUUGCAACGGAAAUAUAAAAUACCACGACAAGUUAUAUAUGUGUGUUUUAUACUGUUAUUAGAAAAUGUUUCGUAAUCCAUUUGUGAUCCUAACUAUGUAUAAAUUUUGUUAUCUUAAUCUAACUAUUUCACCUCUACAUAGUACAGUGCCCGUGUAUUGCAAUGACACAGUCAUUUUUAUGAGGCGGGGAUAUAGAAUUGCUCAUAUGUUACUUUCUAUUCAUGCUUGAAGUAUUCAGGCAGAACCGUGCACCACGGUAUACUGUGGACGCCUACACUAAGGCCUUAAAGAGUAGUAGAGAUAGAGAUAUCUAGUCCAGGAACCCUGUUUGCAACGCUGGUUUUACUUCCUGUAGUUUCAGAAAUUUAGAACUGACAAAACUGUAAAUUAUAACUCAAGUUCAGGAGCCCUUGUUAGGAUGUUAGCUACAACUAUAAAAUGACACUUGUCGAUCAAUAUAUUUUACAGAGGGAGAAAGAACUAUCAUGUGGAAAUGUCAUAAAGAACCAUACACCACACAGAUAAGUAUAGAACUUAGACAACACGCUGAUGUGUAAUUCAACGCCAUCUUUUAUAUAGCAUAACAAUAAUAUAAGGAAGUAGCUCCAGCUCCAUCUUUUGCAUGCACUACAGCUAUGGUUAAACUGGCUUGUUCCAUAGCCUCCUUGCCGGAUCAGGCUUCACAAUUCUAAAUUGGUCCAAAACCUCCAUCGUACUUGAGCUUACAAACUGAAGAAGAGAGAUUAACAAUUGUUCAGAGUGAAAUUCCCAAAUGGCCCUCUUUCUGAAUUUUCUGGAAUUUUCGUUAUUCAAUGCCCCACAUCAAUCUCCAAAGUACUAAUUCAAACAUGUGAAAGGAGAGAAAAUAUUGCGAAAAGGAAUGGAAAUACAAAAACUGACCUGAACCAGCAUAUCACCUCUUGUGGCAUGCACCCUGGCAUACCCGAAUUCUGAAACUCUUGAUAAGCUCCACUUGUUCAACUGAUAUCAAGGCAAGAUUUUGUUAACGAGCAUGUACAGUAUUCGAUAUCAAUUUAAGGUUAUGAACUUAAAAGUAUAUCUCAAAUCUGAAUGUUCAUUGAAUAAUUAUUACAAGAAAUCUCAUUCAACCAAACGCCAUGUCGUUUGAGGCGAAGACGCACACCACGCCAACUGGGUACACCCCAAUAAUAAGGAAACCCUACUCCUAGCCUGAGAACUAAGAAACAGUACCUCGCAUUUGCCACGGCGGGGACGUGGCCGACACCGGUGAAGGCGGCGGCGAGGAGGAUGCCCCAGCGGCGACCAGAUCCGGCUCCAUCGCUGCGAUCUGUGAGGCUAUAUAGAAGAGAUUAGGAUUGGGCAAAUUGAAUUUUGCACGGGAGGAUGUCUUUGUACUUGACGAUUGCUGAAGCUUGCCAUCAGGGACAUCUGCGACUGCAAACAAAAGCAUGCACCUGUGUCACUUGCUUCUUCUCGCAGAGCAGGAAGCCAGCAGGGAAAAAUACGAAGAAUAAAUCAGAUGUGAUGCCAACCUGGCUGGCGAGGAGGAUGCCCCAGCGGCGACCGGAUCCAGCUCCAUCGCUGUGAUCUGGUGGUCGGGGAAGAGGGCAUCUCAUCGCUGCGAUCUGGUUCAAAUACACGGAUAGUUGUUAAGCCUAUCAAACAGAUAUAAUAAAAACAUGUAUUCUGCAAAAGUUCUACCUUGAAAGCCCUAGAUCUUCUAGCUGGUGUAAACAAAAUAUCAUCAAGAGAGCCAUUUUCUGCAUACUGGGGUGUUUCAAUCAAGAGAUAUUCCAAAGCAUGUCCAUUAAUUCAUCUUGUUCUGAUAAUGGCAGAUCUACCAUGUCAAACCUCUUGAUAGAAAGGAGCUGUGAGUGUGUCUACAAUUUUUAGUAAAACUAUAGAGAAAAUCAUCACCGCUAGGAAGUUUGGUAAAUCAGUACUUCAAUAUUUAGAAAAAUCACAAAGGUAAAUCUUAUCAAGACCAAAAAACAUUAAUAAAAAGGUAAAUCGUAUCAAGACCCAAAAAAUUAAUAAAAGACCCAAAAACAUUAAUAAAAAGACCCAAAAACAGUACUUCAAUAUUACAUUAAUAAAUCAGUACUUCAAUAUUACACUACAAAUUCCAUCCUCCUUUGCGCGUAAAUCUUAUCAAGACCCAAAAACAUUAAUAAAAAGAAAAACAUGUAUUUUCUCCCCUCACAGAAACCCUCUCAGCAAAACCUUUUUUUACUCAGAGGUUUCCUCCCCGACCUGCUUAUACAUGAUGUCCACUAUCCCACAGAACCGGAUAGGUAAGCAGAAGCUUGUUAAUCAUGCAAGCAGUAAAUAGGAAUUUACAGAACAAGAAAGUAGAAAGAGCAUGUAGCAUAAAACACUGACAUGGAAGUUGAUUGAUUUUCAUGCUGACACAGAGGAAACACGACAGGUUCUUGCUCCAGUUCAAGCUCCAGCCGAUUCAAGCUCCAGUUCGCCCAGCCCCAGCCGGACGACAGGUGCCAGUAGACCGAGGAGGGCCAAGAUCCAGCAGAUGCAACUUGCGCCAGAUAAAACGGAGAGAAAACACGACAGGGCAACGAGAAGUGUAGUUCAGGGUUUUAGACUUCGGCUCCAACCAAUUCCACACGCCUACUGUUUGUUUUUGGCCACUUGCAGAGACAUGUAAAUACAACGGAAUUUAUGUUCAAUGCCACCUCAGUGUUUAAUCACACAGUUCAGGUUUAUGUAGUAGUGCUGUCAACGUGAAGUCCUCGCACUAACAUGAAGUCCUCGCACUAACAUUAAGGCCUCGCACUAAAAAUAGAAAUUCACCCAUCGGCUUUGUGAUCAACAGCUGUCAACGUCGGCACCAGUGCUGAUGCGGCAAACCCACUAAAUGCAUUACCCCGUUCAGGUUUAUGUAGUAGCUACAAUUAGCAUAUAAACCUAAACCACGAACAGCAGUAGAAAAAACAAAAAAAGAGAAAAUCACCUUGCCGCUGAAUUUCUUCUCCAGCUCCCUGACGAGUCUGACAUGGAUCUUCCUAAAGGCCUUGCGCAGGCGGUAUGGGACGUGGAUGACAACAGCCUUCCUGCUCCCGGUAACAUCCAUCUGGCUGCAAAGUCACAACAAACAUCCUCACCAAAUGUCACAACCAUGCACCACAUACUACUACAUCUCAACAGGCGAUAGAAGAUAGAAAGAAACGUUACGCAUACAUAGCAUUGUUGAUGUACAGGUCCUUGAGGUCGCUCUUGAGCUCCUGGUUCCCGUUCUCCAGAUCAAAUAAAGCAUGCAGGUACAACAAGCCAAAAAGCACAUCACAACCCCGACACAUUGGGAACCACAAACAAACAGAGCAGCAGUUCAAGGAAAAUAAACGCAGUAAAAGGAGGAGAGAGGAGGUGGGUUGGCGCUAUGCUCACCUGGGCAACGGAGUCCUCGAACUCGGAGGGCUCAAGGCCCUUCUCCUUCUGGAUCUUCUUCCUCGCGGUGUACAUCUUGCCUUCCCUUCGCCGCCGGACCCUGCGACCAAGGAGGAGAUUCGAUAAGCAGAGCACGGAUCAGCAACCAGCGCAAGGGGAGAUGAUAACCAUAGAACGCGAGGGCAGAUCGAUGGAGGCGCAGCCGAAGUGAGCUGAGCCAGUGCUCCUCACGCACGAGACCUACAAGUACAAGCAUGACAGCCAAAUCGCAUCAGUGGGGGCACUGCAAUGUGCUAGGAAUCAUAGGUCAUUUCGUCAGGGAUGAGGAUGAGGGCGUUGCAAUCAACCAAGCACGGGGGUGUGUACCUUGACGGGGUCGGACGCGGCGACGCGGGAUCCGGCGGCGAUGGCGCGGAGGGGCGCGGAGAGCGCCGCCAUAGGUGGGGGUGGGGAAUGGGAGCGGGCGGGCGGGCCUGCGCGUACGGUGCGGCAGAGACGAGUGCGGGAGGGACGCGGGAUGCGGCAGGGGCGUUGGAUGCGAGUUGGACGCUCUGGAUGUGGCAGAACCGUGCACCAUGGUUGGCUGUGAACGUCUACAAUAGGUACUUAAUUAGUAGUAGAGACUAGAAAGUAGAAACCCCCCUUAAUUUGAUGAAACUAGUCCUGUUUUGCACGAUGACUCAAGGUGUUGACAUUGUGUAUAUUCCUGUGCCUCUCUUGUAUUGUCAUGUACGUUAGGGCGAUGCGGUCUUGACUCACAUUUGUAACAACAAUACCUAGGUUUGGUUGGGGUGUUUGUGUGCCAAAUUAUUAUUAUUUGUAACUUUGUUGAUGACUGUUUAGGAAGAUACUGACAUUGUGUAGUUUGCUUGUUAAAUUUGAUCAAUUCAGAUCACAAUCUGUUUAAGCUAAGCAGUAUUUAUUGGCUGCAGUUCAGAAUCAUUUGUUUUAAACUUCACGUGAGAUUGGUCUUCAAAGGUUAUAGAACUGCAGACGACAUAUGCAGCUGUAUUCAUUCAUCCUGUGAAUAGAUAUGAUGCUUGUACCACUUAGCGUUUCUUUUGAAUGAGAUGAAAUGCAUCUAAUAAACUAGAAAGAGAGUGAUGUCAGUAGGUUUAGUUAACUGAUUAGUUUUUGCAAAACAUGACUUUUGCUUUGAAGCUCCGAAUAACUUUGAAGUAUAAAGCUGUGUUUGAAGCAAUAAUGUUGUAUAGCAUUUUCUAAAUGCUUGAUCAUGAACCUAUUAUGUAUGUAAUGCUAAAAGUUUAAUAAAAAUACAUGCAUAAACAGAAUUGGACUGAAGUUGCUUAAUGAAAUGUUUCAAUGUUGCCUUUUCUGUCCAGUACAUUGGUUGUCCUUGAGGCAAGGUCUUGCAACAUUGUUUGUCAUGGGUCUGAGUUGUGCGCCAUACUGCUUUGAUUACUGACCAUGAUUUGUGAGAUAAAAAGUGUCAUGCAUGCAAAACUAUGCUCUCACUCGCACCACAAGAAUUCUUCUAGCAACCUGCAGGCUAACUACUCGCACUUCCAUAUUCUUUUUUUUUCAUCGUUACUCCCUCCGCUCCAAAUUGCAUACAUUAUCAAUUUAGUUUUAUUAACUUGUCCAUGAAAUAUGUUUUGAUAGUGCAUUUAUUUGAAUUUUUAGAUGUCAAUACAUUUUUUUUCCUAAAAAAAUAUGGUUAAAGUUAGAUUUUUUUUGAUUUAACUAUAUUAAUUUGAAACGGAGGGUGCAUUUAAGAGCGAGAAAUCAUGCCUACCAUCUUAAUACGGAACUCAUUAAAAAAUUCAUUCAUAUAGCAUACACCAUGAAAUCUAGAUCCAGAUUCUAUUUCUACCUGACCGACAUUUUCGUUUGUAUCUGACUAGGCUUGUCCGUCUGCGACUCAAUUCUUUAGCAUAUCUUUUACUAAACCCAUUUCUGCCUCAGAUUGCUGUUCCAACAUACAUAUUUCACUUAAACCUAAUUUUCCUGUUCUGUUCUGUAAUGUUACUUCAUGAUCCUUUUGGUUCGAUACUUUGACUUGAAUAUAGAUCCUUUUUUUACUUUCAAAUGGUCUUGAAAUGGUAAGCAUCCAUUAAAAAAAGGUUAACCAUCAAAUUCCUCGUCUUUUGUUGAUGCUAAGCAUUAGAUUCCUCCACUUCUUGGGCCAAUCGAGUCGGUAACCGGGACUUAUAAUGGAAAGUAACUCUGGAGUGCAAAGGCUGCCUAGCCCUUAGCUUAGGUCAUGGAGAGUGAUAGUUCAGAAAUGAACUGUUUUUGCUGGUGAACAAAAAUGACACAUUAGAUGCCGUAUAUUCGGUCAAUAAUGCCUGGUUUUUUUUUGCAAGAAUAAUGGCUGAUAUUCACGAGGUCUUGGUUCAUUGUUCGGCUGCUGUGUUCAGUGGCGCACUUUCUAGUUGCCUUUUGUUUAGACACGAAGCAAUGGUCCUAACGACACAUAAUUUUUUUUUAUGUCUUCAAAGACUUGGUUCGGCUGCCGCCCAGGUUGAGCAGCAGCAGGCGCAGUACUGCAGUGCAAUGGAUAGGACAAGAGACUUGAUAUGGCACCACUUUGUCAGGUUACUCGCGAGGAUUGGAGACAGAACAUCGACGGUGGAGCCCGAAGUCCCGUUGCAGGCAACAUUUUUUUUCCCUUUGCUUUCCACAAGACCACAGCCAUGGCACAGGGAACUCCACCUACAUCCAAUGGCCGAAGUGCCUUCCUUUUGGUUGUUUACUGCACUUGUGGAAAACUUUCUCCCUGCUCAUAGCACAUUCGAGAAAAGCUGGCAGCUCCGGUACUCCACCCAUUCUCCGGUGAAUGCUGAAUCUAUUCCCAAUCAUGCUGUCCAUUUUACUAAGGGGGUGUUUGGUUUCUAGGGACUAAUGUUUAGUCCCUAGAUUUUAUUCCAUUUUAGUGUAUAAAUUGCUAAAUAUAGAAACUAAAAUAAAGUUUUAGUUUCUAUAUUUGGUAAUUUUGAAACUAAAAUGGAAUAAAAUCUAGGGACUAAACAUUAGUCCCUAGAAACCAAACACCCCCUAACUUUUCCGUGUGCGAGAUGGUAUUCCUUGCAUAUUUAGUGCUGUCCUUGAGCACUAGACUCGAACAAAAUGCAUGUAGUUACAGUCACGAGUAACCUAGCCGUUGGCUGAAUAAAAUGCAUGUGUGUGUAGGGCGUGUAAUUUGCUAAGCAGCAACAUAUCUUACUGCAUGUGCUUGAUCACGUUUUUCGUUCCGAAACCCAAAACCAACGCGCCCCUCUCGUGCGGUACCUUCAAUGUAAUGACAAUUUGGUUGAGCAGCGGCCAUGGGCAAAUCAGUGGCUCUCGAAUAGCGACGCGGUCGGCGACAGCGAGCGACGAGCGCUUCCUGGGGAGAGUCUUGUCGCAGCCUUAUUCGAGAUUUGUAUAGGCACAAGCACAACUAGCUAAUCCAGUUACCCCUUUUUUUAAUCGAGAAAGGAAGCGCCGCAGAAGCAUCACGAUUAUCAUGCCACAACAAACAAGACACCCUGGGAUUCCACACCCAAAAUGCCACCGAUACCCUGGCCAAAACCCUCCAAAAAGCAUCCCCCCGGAGAUACCAUCCACACCACCUAGCUAUUCUUCUUCCACGCAACAAGGUGUACCGUUAAAUUUGAUUAAACGCUCCCAUCAUGAAAUCCAACCAGUUCUGUGUAGAUCGAUUCAAAUUGACACCAUAUACUAGAAAUCAAGUUUUUUUUUCUUUUUUACUGCUUAUCUCAUGUCACAAGAAAGCACUCUUAGUUUAAUGAUUUUUGUAAGACGGACUAAUUUUUAGCUCUGAGAUUUAGACAUAUCCUCUCGAUGUUGAAGUAUAUAAGUGGAUUGACUAUAUUUUUCCAUUAACUUAAUUUUUUGGGUUAAACUGAUUGGUGCGUCCACUCUAAUAUGGUAUCAAAGUUAGAUGUCUCGAGUUCAAAUCUUGAUAGAGAUUUUAUUUAUGCAUCCACCAAUUUAUUCCCACAUUUCCGCCUUUCUCUCUCUGACUGCACGUGAGUGUUGAAAUAUAUAAGUGGAUUGACCUUCUUCAAACAACUUAAUCUUUUUGGUUGAACUGGUUAGUGUGUCCACUCUAACAAUUAGCAAGUCUCGAGAACUAAGAGGCCGUUUGGGACGGCUCUCCCGUGGCUCCAGCUCCGGCUCCGCGACGGAGCUCUCCCAAACGAGUCUGCUGAAAUGGCUCUCUGAAGAGAGCAGAAGCCAUUUUAGCUCCUAAGAGCCGGAGCCCAAAAAACCUGCUCUCGCACCGGCUCCUCGCCCAUUUCAGUGCGCAGGCACCACGUGCAGCCUCUCCCACCACGCGUAGCCUCUUGUUGGCGUUCAGUAAAGAGCUGUUUUACCAAACGAUUUGUAAAAGACAUCGGCUCCGGCAGAGAAGCUGCUCCUUUAAAAGAGCAACGGUUGGAGCCAGUUUUAGAGGAGCCAGAGCCCUCCCAAACAGGGCCUAAAUAAACUAACUGAGCAGAUAGAUGACUUUCUUUAAGAUUCGUCACCACGAUGUGCUGCCAAAUUUGGCCAGGCGCCAAGCCACCGGGCACCAGCCACGGCGACACUGAUAGCACCAAUGCACAAGGCCGGGCAUCUAUAUUUCCGCCCCCUCCAUGCAUAUCAACGCGCUCGCGACCGAGACCGGCACAACACAAACAGAAACAUGUAUCAACACACCAUGGCCGCCAUGCACGCCAUCGUGCACCACCGCGCACCGCCGCCUGGCCGCUGCUGUCGCGGCCACGGGCGCAGCGUCGUCGUCCGCGCGUCGGCCGCCACCGUCACCACCAGCAUCCCCGGGUCCGCGGCGACAGUGCCGGACUCGCCGUCCGCGGCGUUCUGGGACUACAACCUCCUAUUCCGGUCGCAGCGCGCCGAGUCCCCCGACCCCGUGGUGCUCCGCGUCACGGAGGGCGCGAUCCCGCCGGACUUCCCGGCGGGCACCUACUACCUCGCCGGUCCCGGGAUGUUCACCGACGACCACGGGUCCACGGUCCACCCGCUCGACGGCCACGGCUACCUCCGCUCGUUCCGCUUCGACGCCAGCGGCGCGGCGCACUACUCCGCGCGGUACGUGGAGACGGCGGCGAAGCGGGAGGAGCACGACGCGGGCGGCGCGUCGUGGCGGUUCACGCACCGGGGCCCCUUCUCGGUGCUGCAGGGUGGGAGCCGGGUGGGCAACGUGAAGGUGAUGAAGAACGUGGCCAACACCAGCGUGCUGCGCUGGGGCGGCCGCGUGCUCUGCCUCUGGGAAGGCGGGGAGCCGUACGAGCUGGACCCGCGGACGCUGGAGACCAUCGGCCCGUUCGACAUCCUCGGCAGCCUCUGCGGCGGUACCGACGAAGUGGCACGAGACGCCAGCGGCGAGGCUGCGCAUCACGGGCGCCGGCAGCCGUGGCUGCAGGAGGCAGGGAUCGACGUGGCCGCGCGCCUGCUGCGACCGGUCCUCAGUGGUCUGUACCGUCACUGCCACCACUAGCAGUCAACCACCUCUGCCUGCGGUCGGCGCACGCACCAGAGCCUGCGGUCGGCGCACGCACCAGAGAGCCUGCGGUUGCAGAGCUCUGCUCCACUCUGACCCGACCGGACCGACCUGACGUUUGUGCGCUCGUGUCUGUCGUGUGGCUCCCGCAGGUGUCUACAGCAUGCCGGCCAAGCGGCUCCUCGCGCACUACAAGAUCGACCCCAAGAAGAACCGGCUGCUGAUGGUGGCCUGCAACGCCGAGGACAUGCUCCUCCCGCGCUCCAACUUCACUUUCUACGGUCCGCGCUGCACACCCCUUGCUCAAAUCGAACCGAACACGUACAGAUGCAAACAGAGUUCACUCCACCUGCUCGAUCACUGACGUUGACGACGGCACUGCACCGCAGAGUUCGACGCCAACUUCGCGCUGGUGCAGAAGCGGGAGUUCGUCUUGCCGGACCACCUGAUGAUCCACGACUGGGCCUUCACGGAUAGCCAAUACGUCCUCCUCGGAAACAGAAUCAGGCUGGACAUUCCCGGUACGGAAGGGGAUUAGAGUACUACUACCCCUCUCUCCCGCUCUUUUACUCACAGACACACACACACACACACACACACACACACACCUGAGACAUCACCAGAGUCAUUUGCAGCGCCUCUCACGUGAGUGGCGUGCGGUGUGUUUGUGCAGGUUCGCUGCUGGCGCUCACGGGCACUCACCCAAUGAUCGCGGCCCUCGCCGUGGACCCGAGCCGGCAGUCCACACCCGUCUACCUGCUGCCGCGCACCCCGGAGGCCGAGGCCGAGGCCAGCGGCCGCGACUGGAGCGUGCCCAUCGAGGCGCCGUCGCAGAUGUGGUCGAUGCACGUCGGCAACGCCUUCGAGGAGCGCAACGCCCGGGGCGGCAUCAACAUACAGCUCCACAUGUCCGGCUGCUCCUACCAGUGGUUCAACUUCCACAGGAUGUUUGGUACGUAAAUUCCGGAUGCAUACAUCUUGGAAGUCCUGUUGGUCGAACGAUGUUGUUCACGCUGUACAUCUUCUUUCGAAAUCCUUUGACCUGCUAGUGCUACAGGUUACAACUGGCUGAACAAGAAGCUGGACCCGUCCUUCAUGAAUAUAGCCAAGGGAAGGGAAUGGCUACCUCGUCUUGUUCAGGUGAGCGAUCGCUCGUUCUCAAGUAGUACAACCGAUGGACCAGCUGAUAUGUGUACAGUGUUAACAGCGGCAGAAUUGUGGCACCACGCACGCCGCCGACCCCAUCCCAUCCCAUGCAGGUGUCCAUCGACCUCGACAAGAGAGGGACGCGCCGAGGAUGCGCCGUCCGGAGACUGUCCGACCAGUGGACCAGGCCGGCGGACUUCCCGGCGAUCAACCCAGGCUUCGCCAACCGGAGGAGCCGCUUCGUCUACGCCGGUGCCGCCUCCGGCUCGCGCAGAUUCUUGCCGUACUUCCCCUUUGACAGCGUUGUCAAGGUAGACGUCUCCGAUGGAUCAGCGCGGCUGUGGUCUGUCGCUGGGCGCAAGUUCGUCGGUGAGCCGGUCUUCGUCCCCACCGGCAGUGGCGAGGAUGACGGCUAUGUUCUACUUGUAGAGGUAAGAGGAACGAACAUCCAUUCAAGUUCAAGAACCGGCAUGGACAUUCAUUCAUUCAUCUAAUGCCGCUUUGUUCGCCGCAGUAUGCAGUGUACGAUCACAGGUGCCAUCUGGUGCUGCUGGACGCAAGGAAGAUCGGGGAAAGGAACGCAGUUGUGGCAAAACUUGAGGUGCCCAAGCACCUCACCUUCCCGAUGGGAUUCCAUGGGUUCUGGGCAGAUGAAUGACGCCACAGACAUCCAUUCUCACUCACUGAGCCCUGAAGUCCAAGACCCAUGUUGUCUUGAUCGCUUGAAACCUCUGAAACUGAAAGGAACGCAACAAUCGGGUCUUUUCUUCGGGAUCGUAUCCUGUGCUCAUUGCGCUCCCGCACAUGUGAGCACUUUUAAUCUGAGGCAUCCGUCGUGGUUCUGCUCGUCGGUCCCAUUCCCUGCCUGUGUCACCGGCCUCCUGCACGCCGUCGUCGUCCUCCUGCGUCCUGCACGCCGUUGCUAUCCUCCUGUGUCCUGCACGCUGCCACCAUCCUCCUAUGUCCUCCCCGAUGCCGUCAUGAGAAAGGAACUCAUGUAUGUAAGCUUGCUUCCACGGAUUGCUUCGACAGGUUGCUAGGUAUGUCACAACUGCGAUUGUAAACUGAUUGUAUAGACCCAUGUGAAUUAAAUAGAUUGUUUCAUGACUGGAAACAUCUUGUAUCACAGCAAUAGAUUGGUCCAGAAUAUACAAACUGAAAACAAAAUACUACAAAUCAACAUCUACGAGCUGCUGGAUCAUGGUUGGCAUUCUUUCGCUUUCGUGACUUAGUUCUUUAGAUUUCUCAAUUCUUUUACUCCUUCCUUUGGAUCCAACAUCAGUUGGUGGGAUGAAUAUGUACUUGUUCUAGAAUUUGACAACCAAUGAAACCUUGGUACUCUUGCAGUCUACUUUGUACCAUACCAGGAACAAACUUACCAAGAGUUCCUUCCAUGAUCAUCACUCUUGAGACUAAGAAAUCCAUGCCUUCUUUUGAACCCUUUGCUUGUUCAAUCAUGUCCUCAACUUUGUUUCGAAUAGCUGCUAUCUUCCUCCUUGUUUCAACUUCAUUAGCAUCUAACGGCUUCUCGUGCAAUAAGUUUCCUUCUCCAUCGCACAAAAUCUCUCAAAGUAACAAGAAAAACAUAUGGUCAAGUAAAGAAUGUACACAAUGUAUGAACAAAUGAAAGCGUCAUUGAAUUUACCUCUUGCAUCUUUUUUCAAUUUUUUUUUGAAAAAGUAAGACAAAGGUAGUUCAUUAAGCUUUUCACCUCUCAACUUUAAAGAUGAUAUGCCGACAUGGAAUUCCCAUUGACUCGAAUAAUAAGCAGGAGCAAUUCCCAAUUAUCAAUUAUGGCCCAACUUACAUCUUGUUAGUGUGUGGUUCUUUUGGUUUUAGGGGCGGGGGUCAUGGACCUCUUUCACCUUCUUAAAACCAGCCCUUGAACACAUAUAUCUCUUGUUAGGGGUUGUUUGACAGAGCUCCCGUAGCUCUGGUCCCAGCGAGAAUCACACCUGUAGAGUCAAACGGUAAAAAUCUGAACUGCUUUAUAGUGGGAGUGGAGUGAAUCUAGCCUCUAUUUUAUACUAUAAAGUGGGAGCCAAAAAAACUUGCUUCCCACCGCUCUCAACUUGCUCCCCACUCUCUAACCUCUCAGGAAUCACUUCACAGCUUAUUUGUCAAACAAUUUCCGCCAAAUGGAUUCACUUCUGCUAGAAAAUCAAUCAGAAUUACUCGAGAAUCGGCUUUCGGAGUUAGAGAAUCAUGGAGCAAAGCUCUGCCAAACGAGCCCUUAAUAACCUCACCAAGAGCUUUAAUUUGAGAACCAACACGCACUGAAAGUACUCCAUCAUGUGCAUAUGAUUUGUAGAACUCCGCGUCAUUACAAGAAUGAAAGGACAUUCCAUUAACAGGCUUGCUUCCGUCCACAGUCCACACAGAUGGGUAUGAAUGACGCACACUGCAAUGUGAGACAGAAAAAAUACUAUUAUUACACAAACAUAUGUUUUGCAUGCCAACGAAUCAACAUGAGUUAAAACGAUAGGUUACCACUCUAGGGACAUAUGCCGUUUUUUUGGUGUACAUAAACCUUGAGAGGAUGAUUCACCUUAUGUAACACGCGAUUGUUCCAACCAAGAUUCGAAGGAAAGGUGACACACGGCGUGAAUGUGCAUCUCAUCGAUGUCUUGGGCGUGUCUCUCGACACAAAACAGAUCAUACAGAGAAGACACAGAUUUAACGUGGAAAACCGCUCCAAAGCGAGGAGAGGAAACGCGGGCGCCGGCCAAUAACAAUCUCACUAUUUUUCGGGUGGUUACAGAUCGCAGGAGAUUUACAAUGAGAUGACUAUUUAGUGUGAAUUAUAAGUGUAUUUAUAGAGGCGAAACCCUAAUACGAGUAUGGAACAUUCCCCUCACAUCGAGCCUCUCGAGCGUCUCGGAUGUGAAAUAGGAGCGAGCAACAAUUAUUUUUAUUUUAAUUGCGCUAACCAGGAUUCGAACUCAUGAACUCUGGCUUUGAUACUAUAUUAAGAUGGACACACUAACCAAUUCAACCCAAAAGCUUAACCUGAUGGAAGAAUGUAGUCAAUUCAAUAUACAAUUCAACACCCCACUCGCGUGUAGCUAGAGAGAAAAGCAUAAACAUGAAAAAUAAAUGGGUUAAGGCACAAAAAGCCUCUGCUGGCUGCAAGUUCCGUCACAUGGUAUCCAUUCUCAAGAUACACAAGUCGUUCCCCACGUCCGCAGAGGCACGAGCGCACCUGUUGGAAGAGUUGGAAAUCGACGCAAACCUCCGUCCCCGCCAUGCACACUCGUGGCAAAGUCGACAUUGCACGGCCUGUAGAUCGUCUCAACCUCCAAGCUGUGCCUAUGUCACCACUGCCUCGCUCAGUUCGUGAUGCAUUGUCAGACUCCAAUUGGCGCUUCGCUAUGCAAGCUGAGUAUGAUGCUCUACUCGCUAGUGACACCUAGAGUUUAGUAGGCCUUUUGGAGCCAAUGUUGGUAACUGGCAAGUGAAUUUUUCGACACAAAUUGCUCGUAGAUGGGUUUCUUGAUCACUACAGGACUCGCUGGGUCCUUCGACGGUUUACCUAGCGCCCCGGUGUGGAUUAUGAUGAGACUUUCAGUCCGGUUGUUAGGCCUAUGACAGUUUGAGUUGUUCUUUCUUUGGCUCUCUCUUAGGACUGGCCCAUUCAUCAGUUCGAUAUGAAGAAUGCAUUCUUACAUGACGCCCUCACCAAGGCUGAAUACCGUGUCGUGGCAAAUGGUGUUGGUGAAGCUACUUGGUUACGUCAGUUACUCCUUGAGAUUCAGCAUCCACCUCGCCGUGCCACCCUAGUCUACUAUGACAAUGUCAGUGCUGUAUAUCUCUCCAGCAAUCCUGUGAAGCAGCAUCGGAUGAAGCAUGUUGAGAUCGAUCUCCAUUUUGUUCGAGAUAAGGUCGCCCUCGGUCACGUUUAGGUUCUUCAUGUUCCUACGACAUCAUAGUACAUAGACAUCUUCACCAAGGGCCUACUCACCUCGUUGUUUUAGAGGUUUCGGUCCAGCCUAACUGUUAGCGACGCUCCUGAUUAGACUGCGGAGGAGUGUUAGACUAUUGUAAUUACAAUAUGUUUUAAUUAUGGUAGUCAUCCCUUGAUUAUAGGCAUGCUCGCCUGCGCGGUUGGCUAUGAGCCACCUGUGGCCUCUUAUGUAUACCUGUACAUUGUCAUGGAAUUGAUUGGUUCAUUCCCACAAUUACUCUACUCUCUUUAUAUGAAAUCUAUUUUAGAGAGUAGCUAGACCAGUAAAUUUGGCUUAUCUCUUGGAAUUGCUAAGUAAAUAAACGUUUAAGGUAUUUAGGGAUAAAAACGAACAGGAAAAAUACACUCAUGUCCUGUAUUCCUAUUUUGAAUUGCUAGACCAAAGCUUAUCUUUUGGAAUUGCUAAGUAAAUAAACCUGUAUUGUAUUAUAAAAUUUUCAUUUUUCCCGUUUUCAAAUAUGAGGGAGAUACCCAGACUCCCAGUCUCGUGUUUGUGCAUGUGUUUUGGCCUAUGAGUUUUAUGUUUUGGCCCACUACUGCAGUGUCGCUAGCCGCCUAGCACACUACAGCAGUACUAGCGUACAGGUACAAUGUAACACCCGGAUUUUAGGGGUCCAAAACCCGGGCGCUAACAUAAACACCAGGUAUGCUGGGACCAAGUCUCACACAUAUGAUGUAUAGUGGCACAUGAUCGAAUGUCACAACUUUAUAUAUAACAGGAGUUCUAUACAAAAUAAAUAAUUACAUUAUAAGGAGACAACGGUCCAGCAACCCAAAAGUUGACUGGGAGACGACGACCUAGACCUCUCACGAACUCAUCACAGCAUCCUCCAUGAGCGUCAUCCUGCAGUACCUGGUCUUGACCUGUGGUGUAUGUGAGACAGCAAGAGUGAGCUCACAUACGUUCAUCGCUCAACAAGUUGUGGGGAAUAAUGUGCAUGAACUCGCCAAAGGUGGGAGCUCACGUGAAGUGUAAGGCUUACCAAAGAAGAUGGUUAGGGCUGAGCAUUGCUUUUAAAGUUGGUCAAAAUUUUAUUAGCAAUUACUAAGUAUAAGUAAAUACCAACCCAAUUAAGCAGUAGAACAAAAAUAACAACUUCACCUGCUAUGCAAUGCAUAUGACAAAUUGAAUUUAGUUCCAUAAUUUAAUCAUGUGAGUGUCCGAGCCGCUCAUGACCGUGAGCACGGCUAGUAUACCAGUUUUACACUCUGCAGAGGUUGCGCAUCUUUACCCACAAGUCGUGUAUCCCAUGUCGCCAGGGUUUGCAAAGCCCUUAGACACUUCCGAGGUGAAUGGCUAGGGAUCCACUACGAGGCCUUUACAAAGUUCCACUAGCUUCCGAAAACCCGCUACAGUUUAUAGGAAGAUCCAGUACAGGAAUCCCUUGCAGGACCGCCAUCGCAGCAAAAUCCUCCCGAGGGCACUUCCCGCACUGACCUCUCCCCUACUGCCCUUGCCCCUUUCGGGUAAGGUAGUCUUCCACUAGCUUUCCUAAUUAGUCAGCCAAGGGCGUCCCAUUAAACCCUUGUGGUAGCACUGUUUUCCCGGGUGGUUCUCCAUGUUCCAAUUAACAUAAUGAUCUCAAUAUGAACAAUAAAUAAUAACUGAUAACAAAAGUGUAACCAUGAAUAGUGUAUCUCCAUACCCAAAACCACAUAUAGCACUAGCAAGUACUACCCAGAAAGUUCAGUGGUGAACAAGGUAUAAAGAUAGACAAACUAGGGUAACCUAUUGGGUCCCAUCAAAAUUAACCUAUGCAGAUCAUUAUGAUUAAUUAGAACAUGAGUAGGUGAAAAGAAGUGAUCAAGGGCACAACUUGCCUGGGCCUUGAGAUUCCAGGUACCAGGAUGAUCUUCAGGUGACACGUGACCUCACUGCUAGUCGUAGCAUUACAAACAAACAGUGUAUAGACAGAAUUAACAUUACACCAAACAUAUAUGCAAAAUACAUAUUAAUAAUCUACAUGUUAAAAUAAGAUCACAGGAAAAAGAAUUAUUAAUUUUGGAGUUAUAGAUUUUAAGUUAUGGAUUUCCAAAGAUUCUAUGUGCUUAGUACAAGAUUAAUUAAGAUAACAAUUUUAAUGUGACUUUUAUGUAAAACCAGUGGUACUAAUUGAUAAACAAUAGUAUUACAAAAUUAUAGGAAGUGGGAUGGAUUAAUUUGGAGUUCAUAUGCAUUUUCUAUGAAUUAUAUAAAUUCUAGGAAUUAUUUUUAUAUUAAAAACUCAUUUUCUAAUUAAUUUUCCUGAUUUUAUAACUCUCUGGACUGGGCCUCAUUUACUGAAAAGCGCAGGGGCUCUACGCAAGAUUUCCGAGACUCAGGCUACACCCGCACAGGACGGCGGGUUGAAUCCGAGAAAACCCAGGGUUUCUUUUAUAAAACAUACCCGCGAAGGGGUACGGGGUGAUAUAGGCCGUCGGAUUAGAAAUCCAAGGCCCAGAUCAGAACCUGGCUUAAGUGAACCGGUAAGCUCUGGCGGCCGCCCGAUCCGAGAUCUACGGAUCGGAUUUAAAAUACCCGAGGUGGCUUCGAAUGCGUCCGAUCCCCAUCCAACGGUUCGGAUCAUCACACGCGAAGGGGUAUCUUCCUAUUCUAAUCGCAGCCGUUCAUUCGCGGAUCCACGGCCACGGUAACAUCUCCACUCCCCCGACCGGGAGGCCGGCGGCGCACGAGUGUUCCCCCGGCGGCGCCAUGGCCGGCGAAGGGCCGAUUAACGCACGAGCGCACCUAUUUUAAAAUUGACAGGCGCAGAACAGAGAGGAGAGGGUAGCGAACAUAAUGGUGGAUUCCAUACCGAGGAUUAAGCUCCCAGGAGUCCCGUCCACGGCGCACGGCGGUAAUCCGCGGUGGGGCAAGCGACGGCGAGCAAUUCCGGUGUCUUCAACGCUCCUUGGUCAUGGCCACCCCAUCGUGUAUGCUCCACGUGCAACCCCGAAGCCCCAGGCCCACACGCCGAGGAUGAUUCGCCACCGUGGGCGGAGAUCACCGGCGGCGGACGGAGAUGCGGGGAGAAAGCACGGUCCCGAGGAGAGAGAUGUGAAGGAGAGGGGGGUCGCGGCUACGUACUUAUACUCAGGGGGCGCUUCGCGGUUGUUGUACGGGUACCGAGAUCACCGGCGAGCUCGCGGAGUCCGCGCGAUGGUGUUCGUCGCGGCAACAGACUUCGCACAGCACGCGUGGAGUUCGGAAGGAAGACGGAGACGACCCUGACGA